rnacentral:lncRNA from 1 species
AACAGGUCAGGACAAGAAGAAGACAACGCAACCGUAACCAGAGAAGGCAAAUCAUCAAGGAUGGAUGGGCAGACUACGAAGGAGAAGUGGUAAGGUCUAAAGACAUACAGCUUGAACAGAAUUAUCCUGAGGAGACCGUAGCACCGAGUCAAGUGUGGAAAGAGAAGACAACUAUACACGAAGAGGAGGCGCCGCCGGAAGCACCGACUACGCCAUCCAACGAAUCCCAGGACAAGUGAGAAAACGGAGAGUCCCGUUCAAAGGACUUAAAAACACCGAACGCCUUGCCAAGAGGUAAACUUGGUAGUUAUCCUUUUCCUUUCAAUUAUUUAAAAUAUUUUACUUAGUUAAUCAUGUUCAUACUACCCUAAAAAGAAAAUAAAAAUAUUAAAAAUAGUAAGCCCCAUGUGAGUAUACAAGUGAUAUAAAACCCACAAGUACAUUCACUGUGGUGGCAUAAAAAUAAAAUAAAUAAUUUUUUUUGCACUAUAAAAUGAAAAUAUAAAAAUAGAGAGUAAUAUUUAUUGAGGAGGCUCAACAUGAUAAAGGCUAGAUAUUUAUGCUAACACCUAAUCAGUUUCACAAAGCUUUGUUGUCUAUUUGAGCUCCAGAGAAUUUAAGGAUCAAGAAGAUUAGCAGACGGAUGACACUCUAAUCACUGUCAGGGUACUGCCGACUUUCAAAUACACAUCAGCCACCUGCUAGCUACAUCAGAAGAAAUUACGUCAAAAUCCAGCUUGAGGGAGAGCGCCCCCAUUUAUCCCGCUAAGUAUUUCUAUCUACAUAUAUACUUAUACUAUAUUAAAAUAUAAAUAUACAUAACCAUGAAAAACCAAAUAAAGAUUUUGUGCUUAUAUAUAUAUCUCUUUUGCUUAGCGUGCUUAAUAAAUAAAUAAAGUGGCUAUGCUAAACUGAAUCUUAAUAAUAAAACUCUAGCAUGGAUAUGAUGAAUAGUUGCUCUGCCUAAUUUUCAAAUUUGAAGUUCUCUCUAGUUUAGACAUAACUGUUAUAAUUUAAAGCUUUCUCUAAAUCUGAACUUGUGGGAAGAAAACUUGAUCUAAAGUCUAAGUUAUUAACGGAUAUGAUAUGAGAAGGCUGAGCUGUUGUUUAUGUGUUCCUAGAGAUGCUAUAAUUCUGGAGAAUUUUAUCUUUGAAAAACUUUAAAAUAACACAUGAUGAGUUCCUGUAUGAUGAGAGUUUAAAUUCCUACCACAGCCAUAUAUACAUGCUUGCUAGACUUUGAGCCACACAUUUACUUUUUACUGCUUAUGAGCAUUGAGUGUGGUCAAGCUGUGUAGACCCUUAGGAGCUUGUCAUGUGGUUAAAUCAAGAUUCACUUGCACGUUCACUCACACAUGCUGCUUCUACUCUGGAAGUACGCAUCCACAUAUAUCCACCCAUUUCCAUCUCCAGAACCACCUAAAAAUAUUCUACUCCUAAUCUGGGAGAGAAUAGCCAAAAACAUUUCUGUUUUUCCCCUGUGAAAUAAAUGCUCAAGUUAUCUUGGUUACUACCACUUGCUAUAUUAUUUCAGGAGAUGAGUGCUCUGAAAAAAAGAAAGAGAAGAAAAUAUGAGGAAAUAAAAAGGGGCAAGUGCCCGAAACCACGAAAGAAAAGAAAAAGUGAGACGAGAGGUAAAAAUGGACAAGUGUCCAACAGUAGAAUUAGGGGUGCAAUACCCACCUGAGAGGAAAGAAAAAGAAAAUAAGAGCAUCUCAUUCUCCUCAAAAAGUUUCAAAAGAGCAAGAAAGGUACGUAUCCCCUCAAAAGAGCAAAAGUAGAAUUAGACUUUCACCAUUGUUAUCACCAUCAUCACCAUACACCAUUCAUUCACCACACAUGCACAUCUUGAUUUGACUUAUUGACUUGUUUCUCUGGAUCCAUGGUUUGACUAUGCAAUAAAUGUCUUGUAAGUAUGUAUACUUUAUCUCCCACCUAUGAGCUUCAUAUAUUAAAGCCUUAUUAGAGUAGGAUGAGAGAGAAGGCAAUGUCACUAUGCCUCAUACCACAAAUACUACAUAUUUUGAGAGAAGGCAUAUACCAUCACUGCCUUGGUAAGGAUCCAGAAAUACCACAAAAGAGAGAUCUGAGAGAGUCAUAUAAGGAAUCUCUGAGUUUUAUUUCAAAAUCUACAAAAACUCCAGAGCUAUAGCUGAUCAAGAAUAAGAGACAUGGCACUUGAUUAGACCGUUCUAUCUUUUAACUACUCAAGACAGCAGUGACGGUUACAAGUCCCAUGGUGAAAGGUAAAAUGAAUAAGUUUUAUUUCUUGACAGUUUACUCUAACUCAGAGAUGAUACCUUAUUUGAAAGCAUGUGUACCGUCAAUUUUUAAAGGCAUUACAGCAACUUCUGAUCCAUCACCGAGGUUAUCCUUGCUCAGGGGCGAGCAAGAGGUAAGCUUGGGAGAGUUGUUGACGGUCCUUAAGUAUCAAAUUUAAUUAUCAAAUAAACAAAGAAAAGGAUCAAAAUGCAACCGACAUCCAGACUUAGGGUUUUAUCUGACAGAAUUCCACGAGUUUUGGUGUUUUUCUAUUUCUGCAGGGGGUUAUCAGGAAUUAUGAAAGAAAGGCCCACACGUCGGGUUUACAUAGAGAUAUUAACAUGCCGCGCAAUUAUCUAACAUCUAGAAGAGUCCAGAAGCCACGGGAACGAAUGAGAGACCGGACGGGCCCGGGUGUUGACGGUCCUUAAGUAUCAAAUUUAAUUAUCAAAUAAAUAAAGAAAAGGAUCCAAAUGAAAUAAAGAUCUAGACUUAGGGUUUUAUCUGACAGAAUUCCACGAGUUUUGGUGUUUGUCUAUUUCUGUAGGGGGUUAUCAGGAAAUAUGGAAGAAAGGCCCACAUGUCAGGAUUACGUAAAGAUAUUAACGUGCUGCGUAAUUAUCUUACAUCUAGAAGACUCCAGAAGCCACGAGACCGAAGCGGAGGCGAAUCGGGGCCAGAGACAGGGCGCCCGCCCUGCCCCUAAGUCCAAUCAGGACUCUGCUUUGCGGGAAGUCUCCACCGACCUAAAGGAUGAAUCUAAACCAUACAAUCUAUGUCGGUUUGAUCCAAGGGCCCAUAUUCACUUGAAGGGACUAUAAAACCAGACCCCCUGGCCCCUGGAGGAGGGAGCCUCUCAACCCUAAUUCAUUGUUCCAUCAAGGGAGAAGAAGCCUCUGAUCAAGAUUAGAGCCACCACAUCAAUUAGAUAUCUAGAUUAGCAUAGCUACAUAGGAUUAGAACUAGAAGGAGUCAAUCUUCGAUUGGUUUCCAGAUCUGUGAGGACGAUUCUUGGUAAUUCUCUAAUUGUGCUUCUAAUUGCUUUCUAAUUAUCUUUGUUCUUCAAUAUUAUGAAUAUGACUUUGUUCUACUUCAAUAUAUUGCUUAUGACUUUGCUCUAUUUGCUUAUAUUCAAGAUUAUAUUGUUCUUAGUUUAUCAUAGUUAUGUACUUGGCUUAGUUAGAUACGAUCUAUAUACAUGCUUAGGAUUGUAUAGCGUUUAUCCAUCGGAUCCAUGGGUAAAUGAUAGAUAUUGUGUAGGCGUGGUGCUUAUACCGUAUUUAUCUGCGAUUGUACCCAAUAUGCCAGAUCGUGGGGUAGUUCGUGAUAGUGACAGCUUCAUUGAUUCUUAUAUAGUCCCCCUCUCGUGUAUUGGGCUGGCAGAGCAACACUAUUACAGGGGAGUGAUUGCUAUGUUUCUCAUAUUCCUUGCUAAUAUCACUAUGCAUGGGCGUAGUCUUGUCUCGCAAUGAUUGCUAAGUAUGCUUGCACUAACUAUGAUAUGCUAGACUAUAUAGUUAAGAAUAACUUAGGGAAUAUUCUUGUAGUUCGUUCUAAUACCAUGCUAAUGACUUUCUAGAGUAUCUAAUUGAGGUGCUUAUCAUAUUUAUUAUGUGGCUAGAUCAGAUUAGUUAUCCUUGUCACUAUUAUCAUUUCAUAUAUCUAUUAUGUGACACUUAUCCCUGUAUGAAGAGUUAGAUAUAAUGUUCUCAAUUAUACAUGAAAUGAUAGAUGCUCAAUCUCAUAUUCUAUUCUGUAAUCAAUAGUGAUGAUUGAUUAAUCCCUUCCCAGUGGUAAAAAUAUAAAUAACGAUACCUGGAAUACUUCCCGGUUAAAAUGCUACAUCGGUAUUAAUCUGUGCGCUUGCAGAUCCCAUUCAUUAUUUAUUUAGAAGAGCAAUUGCAUAUUUCAAUACCGCGUCUCUCAUGUCAUGUUGGGGAUGACAACUUGGCUUAAGUGGUGUGAGGGAUAGGUUUGGCAUUUUUGGCACCGUUGCUAGAUUUAGAACUUAGUCUACUUUUGGUAAUGAUGUUAAGAAUACCCAACAAGCAAUUUUUGGCGCCGUUGCCGGGGAAGGUUGAUUACCAAUCAGGAAUGGAAUAAAAGAUUUUGAUUUAUCAUUCGCAUCACUAAUAUGAUUGAGCUUAUCUAUUCUCUCAUACAGUUUUACCCCGAUAUUUUUCUAUUUUAUCUUAUGCAGGGGAAUGUAUGAAUAGAAGACAUCUUCCAGGAAAUUUUGUUGACAAUCCUGAAGCAUUAUUCAAGAAGACGAGGGCCAAGCUAAAGAAAUCAUCAACACUUCACGAAGAAGCUUCAUCCAAUCAAGAAGAUCACCGGAACUUGUCUUCAGAGUUCGAAGCCAUGGCGAACAAAUCGAUCCGCGAGUUCUCAGCUCCCACUACGGACAACAUCCGCACUGGACCUGCUGCAGAGAUCGAUGGCAACUUUGAGCUCAAGCCUGGACUUAUCAACAUGGUGCAAUCCAACCAGUUCUGUGGGAAGGCACACGAAGAUACUAGUGCUCAUUUACAACACUUCCUAGAGAUUUGCAACACAUUCACAAUAGCUGGUGUUUCCAAAGGCGCUAUACUACUUCGCCUCUUCCCAUUCUCACUGUUAGGAAGAGCGAAGCAGUGGUUCUACGCUACAAAGGAGAAGAAUACUACGUGGGCACUCUGCUCAACAAACUUCCUGGCCAAGUUCUUUCCCAUGGGCAAGACCAAUGCUCUCCGUGGGAAGAUUACAAGUUUUCAGCAACAAAAUGAUGAAUCUGUUCCAGAAGCAUGGGAGCGCUUUCAAGACUACAUCCUAGAAUGUCCCCAUCAUGGAAUGGAGAGUUGGCUAUUGAUGCAGACAUUCUAUCAUGGGCUCAGCAACAGUGCCCGAGAGACCAUGGAUGCUGCAGCUGGAGGAGCAUUCUUAUCACUUACUAUACCACAAGCCACAGCUCUUGUGGAGAAGAUGGCGUCCAAUCAAAGCUGGAAUGAAGAGAGGACCCAGACAUGCAAGAGAGGUGGAGGUAUGCAUCAGCUGAAGGAGGUAGACAUGCUGUCUGCAAAGCUAGACCUGCUCAUGAAGAAGCUCGAUGAUAAAGCUGGAGACAAGAAAGAAGUUAUGCACAUCUACGACUCUCACAUGACUUGUGAGGAGUGUGGAGACACUGGACACUCAGGCAACCACUGCCCUGAGAUGCUUGAGGAUGUGAACUACAUCAACAACAACAACAACUACAACCGUCCUCAACAAAAUCAAGGUUGGAAUCAACAGAGGCCUAACUACUCACGUAAUUAUCAAGGUAACAAUUCUUACAACAAUAAUAAUAAUUUUCCACCUUUGAGAGAGUUAGUGUCUAAUCAAGGAAAGCUAAUGGAUAACCUAUCUAAGAAAUUGGCAUCUAAUGAUAAAAUGCUAGAAAAUAUAAAUAAUAGAACGGAUAAUUUUUCUACUGCCAUCAAGAAUCAAAUUAGCUUUAAUAAAAUGAUUGAAUCUCAGUUAAAUCAGAUAGCUGCUGCUGCUCCUACUACUAACCCCGGUAUACCAUCACAACCGGAAGGAUUAGAAUCUGCAAAUCUUGUAGACGUGUUUGAUGCAGGUAAUUGGAGUAACCCCGUCAAUGAAUUUUCUACUGACCGUCUGCCGGUCAAGAGAGGCGAUCCAGGACGCCCCGUCAUCCCGAUCUCCAUCGGCAUGGUGGACUUCCCAGAAGCACUCUGCGACUUUGGCUCCAGUGUCAACAUUAUACCCAGGGUACUCUAUGAGAAAUUCUUUACAUAUCCUUUAUUAGAGACAACCAUGUGUUUGCAGUUUGCAGAUCAGACGAUAACUUUUCCAAAAGGAAUAGUGAGGAACCUUUGUGUCCAAGUUGGUACCUUGUAUGCACCAGUAGACUUCGUAGUGGUAGAGACCGGAAAUGAUGAGAGAGCACCUAUCACCCUAGGGAGGCCAUUUUUGAACACCACGGGAGCUAUCAUCUACGCCAGUGCUGCUAAGAUCAGUUUCUACGUUAAAGGGAAGAAGGAAACAUUUUUCUUCAAAAACAAGACUACACAAAUUCCAAAUCAAUCCAGACGUCAAUCAAGGAAAAGGACCAACAGGAGGAACAAGAACAAGCAAGUGUGGACCGAGUCAGCUCAGAUGGUCACUGUAGUCCAUGGAGGCCAAGAUCACCAACUUAAGUCACCGUGCUUGACCAAGAAGGAUGACCCAGGAAUGCCAAGCAUUUACUGCUCCAUAAAUGGAUACAACUUCUACAAGACAAUUUGUGACACCGGAUCGGGUGUCAACAUAAUGGCCGCAGUCACCUAUCGGCUCUUGUUCGGGACCAUGCCACUAAGACCAACAUACUUUCAGCUCCAGAUGGCAGAUCAGACAUUUCGAGAAGUUCAAGGAAUAGUAUCUGAUGUCCCAGUCAAAAUAGACGAUCAUUUUGUCUACACAGACUUUCAAGUUGUUGACAUGGGAGAAGACGAGUAUGAUCCAACCAUCAUCCUUGGAAGACCGUUCCUCAGCACCGUUAAAGCCAUUAUCUACAUUGGAACCGGAGAAGUCCAUAUGCACUUCCCCUCAGAGAAGGUACGCUGUUAUUUUACUGACCCUAACUAUAUCAUUGAAGAAUCUAAGCAGGUAAGAAAACGACGCAACCGCAACCAGAGGAGGCAGAUCAUUAAGGACGGAUGGGCAGACUAUGAAGGAGAAGUUGUAAGGUCAGAAGACGUAGAGUUUAAACAGAAUUAUCCAGAGGAGAUUGAAGCACCGAGUCAGGUGUGGAAAAUGAAGAUAACGAUACAAGAAGAGGAGGCGCUGCCGGAAGUACCGACUACGCCACCCAACGAACCUCAGGACGAUUAAGAAAUUGGAGAGUCCCGUUCGGAGGACUUAAAAAUACCGAACGCCUUGCCAAGAGGUAAACUUGGUAGUUACCCUUUCCCUUUCAGUUAUUUUAAAUAGUUUACUUAGUUAAACAUGCUCAUACUGUCUUAAAAAGAAAAUAAAAAUGUGAAAAAUAGUAAGCCCCAUGUGAAUAGACGAGUGGCAUAAAACCCAUACGUACAUUCACUGUGGUGGCAUAAAAAUAAAAUAAAUAUUUUUCUGCUUUAUAAAAUAAAAAUAUAAAAACAGGGAGUAAUAAUUAUUAAGGAGUCUCAAGAUGAUAUAGGCUAGAUAUUUAUGCUAACACUUAAUCAGUUCCACAAGCUUUGUUGUCUAUUUGAGCUCCACAGAAUUUAAGAAUCAAGAAGACUAGCAGACGGAGGACAUUCUAAUCGCUGUCAGAAUGCUGCUUUCAAAUACACCUCUGCCACCUGCUAGCUACAUCAAGAGAAAUUACGUCAAAAUUGAGCUUGGGGGAGAGCACCCCCAUUUAUCUCGAUAAGUAUUUCUAUCUAUCUAUCUUUAUAUUUAUAUUAUUUUAGAAUAUUAAUACACAUAAACUAUGGGAAAACCAAAUAAAGAUUUUAUGCUUAUAUAUAUUACUUAGUGUGUUUAAUUAAUAAAUAAAGUGGCUAUGCUAAUCUGUAUCUAAUAAAACUUAAGCAUGGAUAUGAUGAAUAGUUGCUCUGCCUAAUUUGCACAUUUUAAGUUCUCUCUCAAGUAUAGACAUAACUGUUAUAAUUUAAAGCUUGCCCUAGACCUAAACUUGUGGGAUGAAAACUUGAUCUGAAGUCUAAGUUGUUAACGGAUACGAUAUAGGAAGGUUGAGCUGCUGUUUAUCUGUUCCUAGAGAUGCUAGAAUUCUGGAGAAUUUAUCUUUGAAAAUCUUUAAAAUGUUGCAUGAUGAGUUCCUGUAUGAUGAGAGCUUAAAUUCCUACCACAGCCAUAUAUACAUGCUUGCUAGACUUUGAGCCACACUUUUACUAUUUACUGCUUAUGAGCAUUGAGUAUGGUCAAGCUGUGUAGACCCUUAGGAGCUUGUCAUGUGGUUAAAUCAAGAUUUCACUCGCACGUUCACUCAUAUAUGCUACUUCUACUUCGGAAGUACCAUCCACAUACAUCCACUCAUUUCCAUCUCCAGAGCCACCUAAAAAUAUUCUACUCCUAAUCCGGGAGAGAAUAACCAAAAAUAUUUCUGUUUUCCCCUUGUAAAAUAAAUGCUCAAGUUAUCUUGUUACUACCACUUGCUAUAUUAUCUCAAGAGAUGAGUGCUCUAAAAAAAAAGAAGAAGAAAAUAAUAUGAGGAAAUAAAAAGGAGCAAGUGUUCGGAACCUCGAAAGAAAAGAAAAAGUGAGACGAGAGGUAAAAAUGGACAAGUGUCCGACAGUAGAAUUAGGGGUGCAAGAUACCCACCUGAGAGAAAAGAAAAAGAAGAGCAUCUCAUUCUCCUCAUAAAGUUUCAAAAGCAAGGAAGGUAUGUAUCCCCUCAGAAGAGCAAAGUAGAAUUAGACUUUCACCACCAUUGUUUUCACCAUUGUUAUCACCAUCAUCACCAUAUACCAUUCAUUCGCCACACAUGCACAUCUUGAUUAAACUUAUUGACUUGUUACUUUGGAUCCAUGGUUUGACUAUGCAAUACAUGUCUUGUAAGUAUGUAUAUUUUAUCUCCCACCUAUGAGCUCCAGAUAUUAAAGCCUUAUUAGAGUAGGAUGAGAGAGAAGGCAAUGUUACUAUGCCUCAUACCACAAAUACCACAUAUCUUGAGAGAAGGCAUAUACCAUCAAUGCCUUGGUAAGGAUCCAAAAAUACCACAAAAGAGAGACCUGAGAGAAUCAUACAAGGAAUUCUGAGUUUUAUUGAAAAUCUGCAAAAACCCCAGAGCUAUAGCUGAUCAAGAAUAAGAGACAUGGCACUUGGCUAGACUGUUCUAUCUUUUAACCACUCAAGACAGAAGUGACAGUUACAAGUCCCAUAGUGAAGGUAAAGUAAGUAAGUUUUAAGUCUUGACAGUUUACUCUAACUUAGAGAUGAGAUCUUAUUUAAGAGCAUGUGUACCGUCAAAUUUUUAAAGAUAUUGCAGCAACUUCUGAUCCAUAGCUGAGUCUAUCCUUGCUCAGGGACGAGCAAGAGGUAAGCUUGGGGGAGUUUGUUGACGGUCCUUAAGUAUCAAAUUUAAUUAUCAAAUAAAUAAAGAAAAGGAUCCAAAUGAAAUAAAGAUCUAGACUUAGGGUUUUAUCUGACAGAAUUCCACGAGUUUUGGUGUUUGUCUAUUUCUGCAGGGGGUUAUCAGGAAAUAUGGAAGAAAGGCCCACAUGUUAGGAUUACGUAAAGAUAUUAACGUGCUGCGCAAUUAUCUUACAUCUAGAAGACUCCAGAAGCCACGAAACCGAAGCGGAGGCGAAUCGGGGCCAGAGACAGGGCGCCCGCCCUGUCCAACUGGGCGCCCGCCCUGCCCCUAAGUCCAAUCAGGACUCUACUUUGCGGGAAGUCUCCACCGACCUAAAGGAUGAAUCUAAACCAUACAAUCUAUGUCGGUUUGAUCCAAGGGCCCAUAUUCACUUGAAGGGACUAUAAAACCAGACCCCCUGGCCCCUGGAGGAGGGAGCCUCUCAACCCUAAUUCAUUGUUCCAUCAAGGGAGAAGAAGCCUCUGAUCAAGAUUAGAGCCACCACAUCAAUUAGAUAUCUAGAUUAGCAUAGCUACAUAGGAUUAGAACUAGAAGGAGUCAAUCUUCGAUUGGUUUCCGGAUCUGUCAGGAGGAUUCUUGGUAAUUCUCUAAUUGUGCUUCUAAUUGCUUUCUAAUUAUCUUUGUUCUUCAAUAUUAUGAAUAUGACUUUGUUCUACUUCAAUAUAUUGCUUAUGACUUUGCUCUAUUUGCUUAUAUUCAAGAUUAUAUUGUUCUUAGUUUAUCAUAGUUAUGUACUUGGCUUAGUUAGAUACGAUCUAUAUACAUGCUUAGGAUCGUAUAGCGUUUAUCCAUCGGAUCCAUGGGUAAAUGAUAGAUAUUGUGUAGGCGUGGUGCUUAUACCGUAUUUAUCUGCGAUUGUACCCAAUAUGCCAGAUCGUGGGGUAGUUCGUGAUAGUGACAGCUUCAUUGAUUCUUAUAUAGUCCCCCUCUCGUGUAUUGGGCUGGCAGAGCAACAUUAUUACAGGGGAGUGAUUGCUAUGUUUCUCAUAUUCCUUGCUAAUAUCACUAUGCAUGGGCGUAGUCUUGUCUCGCAAUGAUUGCUAAGUAUGCUUGCACUAACUAUGAUAUGCUAGACUAUAUAGUUAAGAAUAACUUAGGGAAUAUUCUUGUAGUUCGUUCUAAUACCAUGCUAAUGACUUUCUAGACUAUCUAAUUGAGGUGCUUAUCAUAUUUAUUAUGUGGCUAGAUCAGAUUAGUUAUCCUUGUCACUAUUAUCAUUUCAUAUAUCUAUUAUGUGACACUUAUCCCUGUAUGAAGAGUUAGAUAUAAUGUUCUCAAUUAUACAUGAAAUGAUAGAUGCUCAAUCUCAUAUUCUAUUCUGUAAUCAAUAGUGAUGAUUGAUUAAUCCCUUCCCAGUGGUAAAAAUAUAAAUAACGAUACCUGGAAUACUUCCCGGUUAAAAUGCUACAUCGGUAUUAAUUUGUGCGCUUGCAGAUCCCAUUCAUUAUUUAUUUAGAAGAGCAAUUGCAUAUUUCAAUACCGUGUCUCUCAUGUCAUGCUGGGGAUGACAACUUGGCUUAAGUGGUGUGAGGGAUAGGUUUGGCAUUUUUGGCACCGUUGCUAGAUUUAGAACUUAGUCUACUUUUGUAAUGAUGUUAAGAAUACCCAACAAGCAAUUUUUGGCGCCGUUGCUGGGGAAGGUUGAUUACCAAUCAGGAAUGGAAUAAAAGAUUUUGAGUUAUCAUUCGCAUCACUAAUAUGAUUGAGCUUAUCUAUUCUCUCAUACAGUUUUACCCCGAUAUUUUUCUAUUUUAGCUUAUGCAGGGGAAUGUAUGAAUAGAAGACAUCUUCUAGGAAAUUUUGUUGACAAUCCUGAAGCAUUAUUCAAGAAGACGAGGGCCAAGCUAAAGAAAUCAUCAACACUUCACGAAGAAGCUUCAUCCAAUCAAGAAGAUCACCGGAACUUGUCUUCAGAGUUCGAAGCCAUGGCGAACAAAUCGAUCCGCGAGUUCUCAGCUCCCACUACGGACAACAUCCGCACUGAACCUGCUGCAGAGAUCGAUGGCAACUUUGAGCUCAAGCCUGGACUUAUCAACAUGGUGCAAUCCAACCAGUUUUGUGGGAAGGCACACGAAGAUGCUAGUGCUCAUUUACAACACUUCUGGAGAUUUGCAACACAUUCACCAUAGCAGGAGUUUCCAAAGACGCUAUACUACUUCGCCUCUUCCCAUUCUCACUGUUAGGAAGAGCGAAGCAGUGGUUCUACGCUACAAAGGAGAAGAAUACUACGUGGGCACUCUGCUCAACAAACUUCCUGGCCAAGUUCUUUCCCAUGGGCAAGACCAAUGCUCUCCGUGGGAAGAUUACAAGUUUUCAGCAACAAAAUGAUGAAUCUGUUCCAGAAGCAUGGGAGCGCUUUCAAGACUACAUCCUAGAAUGUCCCCAUCAUGGAAUGGAGAGUUGGCUAUUGAUGCAGACAUUCUAUCAUGGGCUCAGCAAUAGUGCCCGAGAGACCAUGGAUGCUGCAGCUGUGUAACAUCCCUGAUGUUACGGUUACUAAAAACGGAUCAUGUCAUCAUAAGCAUUGCAAAGCAUAAUUGUUAAAGCACAUUAGUAUGCAUCAACUUAAAAUAAGUUUACUUUGAUUGCUUGAGCUUAGGGAAGUAGAGUGUGCUUUUGUGGUGUGUUGUUGCUUGUGUGGUUGCUAAAACUCUAGGGUGGAAGUUUUCCGAGAAGCUAAGGGGGGGAAAACCCUGAUUUCUGGAUCCUAGAUUUGUCCCCUUUUGCUUAAGUCAAAAACUAAGCAAAAUUUGAGGUUGAGUUCAAAAGCAAAGUUGUUGCUCUUGGCAAGAUGUACAACUUUGGUGUUUUGAGUUUUUGAAGUUUCAAUACAAAAUUCAAAGUAAUUUUGAAAAUACAGAUUUCCAGAAAGUGUCCCCUUUUCCAACUUAAAUCCCCAAUUCAAAAUCCAUUUGGAAUUUUGAAAAGUGGUCAACAUGAAAGUUGUAGAGCACAAAAAGUUGAGCAACUUUCAUGUUGGGAGUUUUUCAAGUUGUUAUGCAAAAUCAAAAGAAAUUUGGAAAUUCUGUUUUGCCCCAAUUCAAAAAUUUGGAAUUUCUUUGAUUUGAGUUUGAUUUUCAAACUGUUUGGCAAAAUUACCCUUGAUCCAUUGAGAAUCAGCUUGGGACACCUAAAUAUGAUUUGUAGCUUACAAAAUUUGGCACAACUUUUGUUUUGGUGGAAAUUUGACUUUAGUUCAAAUUUUGGUCGGAUUUCACAAAAAGACAAACUGAGUGGAUGAGGCCGGCUACAGUGAUCGGUAGGGGGGGGGUGCUCUGCCGCCGGGGCAGAGCCGCCUCCGCGCGCGCCGCCACGCAGCUGGCCACGCAGCUGCUUGCUGCUGUGCUUCGCGUGGACGUCCUCAUCCGCGAACCGCCUUCCGUUGUGGGGAUAAAGCCCCGAGUGGCCAGAGUCCCCUCUUCCUUUUCUUGAACCCCGACGCCGACGAGCUCCCUGCGCCUCUCCAACUCGCCUCACUCGCUGCCGUUCCAAGCCACCUGAGCACCCCAGCAGCUCCGCCGUGAGCCCCGCCACCGAUUGCGCCCCCAAACACACGCUCUAUCCUACCGUAGCUUCCACCCGAGCCGUUUCUCCCCCAACUCCGGCCGAGCGCCACCGCAAGCACGUCACCGUGGCCAGCGUCAACCAGAGCCUCUCCGCUGUCGCUUCUUGUUCGGUUGAAGUCGCGGUGAGCCCCUGGUGCUUUUGCGCUGCUCAAGUCACGCUCUACUAGCUCGUAGUGGCCGGCGUCUGCUCGGCCGAGGCGGCCGUCCGCCGUGCCCGUGGUCACAGGGGUUAGGAUAGAGGAGAGUGGGAGAAAAGGGUGUCCCUGGGUGCACGGGAGGUCGAGGAAGCUAUCACGUCUCGCCGCGAAGGCCGAGAGCUCGCCGACGGCUCACUGGAGCUCGCCGGAGCCGCGGCGCUAGGAAGGAGACGGAGCUGACGGGCGGGACCUGCCCGUCAGCGACCGCGUGAGAGAGAGAGGGAGAGGGCGCUGGCGCGGGAAGCGCUCGGGCCAGAGUGGACCGUGUCCACGCAGGCCGUCUGCGCGGCGCGUGAGCAGGCCGAGCGCGCGUGGGCCGGCUUGCGGGCCAAGUUCCAGGCCGCCCGCCGCGCGAAAAACCUUUUCCUUUUUCCUGUUAUGCAAUUUUUGCUGAAUGUUUGAAUUUGUGUAAUAAUUCGUGUGUUAAUGCAAAAAUCAUGGAAAUUUUUGUGUAGAUUCUCUGAAAUAAGUAGAACCCAAGAAAAAUAGUGGAUUCUUUUUUCUGGUAGUUUACAUGUCUACAAAAAUUGGCCCUUUUAAUUAGCAAAUAAAACUUGUAUGAUUUUUAAUAAUUUGUUAGUAUGUCCAAAAAUCACCAAAAAUUGUGAGAUGCCUCUGAAUAUUGUUCCCUGGCUCCCCACAAAAUUUGGUGGCAUUUGGAUAAUGUUUGUUUAAAAUAUUAAUGAACUCUUAUUUAACACUUAAGUAAUAAUUCCAAAAUAAUUAAAUAGUGAUUAUUUAGGUCCUCAUAAUUAGGGUUGAGUGAUUUUGGAUUAUGUGAUGACCUGAGGUCAUUAACCCUAAUGACCUUUGGCAUUUAAUUGUUGUUCAGCUUUAAUGCUUAAUUACUGUCAUUAGUAGUUAAUUAAGAAUUGAUUAAGGUAAAUAGGGUUAAUAAUUAGUUAAUUCAGGAUAAUUAGGAAUUAAAAGGAGUUUUAAUUUACUGAUGCAAUCUCUUGGGUAAAAACAGUAAAUUGUAAACAACUUUAUUUAGUGACAAUUCUGUAUUGCAUUAAAAAGGCAAAUCGUACUUAAUUCGGUCCAUCUUGCAUAAUUGCCAUACGCAUAUCAUAAGCAUUCAUCAUUUUGCGUAUAGUGUCCGUGACCGAAGGAGCGCCCGUUGAACCGAACCCCGAGGUCGGUGCUCCGUUCGAGGAAGUCGGAUCCGAGACUUGGGAAGUCUCCGAGGGUCCCUCUCUGCCCUGCAACCAAGGCAAGCCCCGGAUGCAUUAACCCCUCCUUGGAUGUUUUAAAUCUUUUAUCACUUAUGAAUGGAAAAUGCUGCAUUAGGUAGAUGAGAAUUGGGUUAACCUACUUGCUGCAUUUACUACCUUGAUAUCUGUAUCCUGUCCUUGACACCUGUUUUAUUUUAAAACUACGUAGCGAUGCUUAGCCCUGCUACUAGAUAGGUUUUUAAACAAGAAAGUUUGAAGGGUUGUUGUGGGAUGCACUUAUGGUCAAUGAUGUUUUAACUUGAGACCGGUCGGUGGACUUGCUUUAAGAAUGGAGUCUUAAAGUAGUGUCUCCAACUGUGUCGGUUAAGGACCGGUCCGUUGAUGGCCUGCUGGGUUGAGAAUUUAUAGUACUAGCCACUUGCCUUCGGUAAGCCCGGUCUUGUGAUCCCUCGACGCGAACAGCUACUCGCGCACUGGGAGUGGAAAGAUGGCGAGAGUAGUGUGUACACACCUUACGGAUCUGAGAUGACCGGAAAACAUCUAGAUCGGCUGUAGGAUGGUGGAGUACUGUGCUCUCGGGUGCCGCGAACCUGGUCAGAUUUGGGGAGAGCUUGAUUUGGGUUGACAUAUGCAAGAUUUGGUUCUACAUAUGUCGGGUGGUUAGGAACUCCAGCUGGAUUGCUAAGCGAUUCGAAUCGUCGUUGCUCCCCGAUUGGGAGACUCAAUUCCUUCGACCCUCAUCGUAGUUAAAUAUGCAACUAAGUGAUAAAAUGAGAAAGGAGAAAAUGUCUCAUGAGGUUCGGAUCCCAAUUCCCGGACUCAUAGCGACAUGAAGCUAUGGCCAUCGAUAAAUAAUACUUAAUGAUAGGACUAGGAACUCACGGAUUCGUCUGUGGGGAACAACCAGUUAGACUAUCCUCGAAUUCCUCUGCCUCUGCGAGGGAGUAAUUCGGGGUAAAACUUGAAAAUAAGGAUGCACUACUAGUAAGCUUUUACGCAAAACACUUAAUGAUAGGACUAGGAACUCACGGAUUCGUCUGUGGGGAACAACCAGUUAGACUAUCCUCGAAUUCCUCUGCCUCUGCGAGGGAGUAAUUCGGGGUAAAACUUGAAAAUAAGGAUGCACUACUAGUAAGCUUUUACGCAAAACACUUUGGCUCCUUGAUCAGCCACCCCUUGUCUACCCUAAGCCUGCAUCCCUAAAUUCUCCUCUUUUCCCGUCGGAUAAGUCUUGUUGAGUACUCCCGUACUCAGGGUUUCAAUACCCCUGUUGCAGGUGAAGCUCAGGAGCCGACUUGUUUCGGACCCUGUUGUGUGACCGUCGUCGAGGUUGACGACGAAGAAGAGUGAGCGCGACCCAUGGGCAGGGUCUGUAAAUUUGUUCUGUCUGUACUAAAGUUUCUGUUGCUCCGCUGGACCAGGCUUGUAAUAACACUCUACUAUUUGGAAGAACUCCUUUUAUAAAUUAAGUUAUGUAAUACUUCCGCUGUUUCACUCUGAAAUAUUAUUUUGGUCUUGUGUCGUUGAGUUACUGCUUUAUCUUCGCAACGAAUGAUCCUGGUGUUAAGGUGGCCACUUGCUAUCCUGUAAGGGCGAGAAGAAACAGUUCUCGUUGUUUGACCAUUACCAGUGGUCAGGACGAGCCAGCUUGGUACGCCACAGGUAGCAGUGGAAUGAGCGCCCAGCAAUGCUCAUCGGACUUCUAAAGUGGGAGGACUCCCGGCAUCACCGUCAGAGGUCCUUAGGACAAUGGUAGGUGUCGGUGGGCCCAAACACUUAGGAGGUUUUGCCACAAGCUGGAGGAGCAUUCUUAUCACUUACUAUACCACAAGCCACAGCUCUUGUGGAGAAGAUGGCAUCCAAUCAAAGCUGGAAUGAAGAGAGGACCCAGACACGCAAGAGAGGUGGAGGUAUGCAUCAGCUGAAGGAGGUAGACAUGCUGUCUGCAAAGCUAGACCUGCUCAUGAAGAAGCUCGAUGAUAAAGCUGGAGACAAGAAAGAAGUUAUGCACAUCUACGACUCUCACAUGACUUGUGAGGAGUGUGGAGACACUGGACACUCAGGCAACCACUGCCCUGAGAUGCUUGAGGAUGUGAACUACAUCAACAACAACUACUACUACAACCGUCCUCAACAAAAUCAAGGUUGGAAUCAACAGAGGCCUAACUACUUAGGUAAUUAUCAAGGUAACAAUUCUUACAACAAUAAUAAUAAUUUUCCACCUUUGAGAGAGUUAGUGUCUAAUCAAGGAAAGCUAAUGGAUAACCUAUCUAAGAAAUUGGCAUCUAAUGAUAAAAUGCUAGAAAAUAUAAAUAAUAGAAUGGAUAAUUUUUCUACUGCCAUCAAGAAUCAAAUUAGCUUUAAUAAAAUGAUUGAAUCUCAGUUAAAUCAGAUAGCUGCUGCUGUUCCUACUACUAACCCCGGUAUACCAUCACAACCGGAAGGAUUAGAAUCUGCAAAUCUUGUAGACGUGUUUGAUGCAGGUAAUUGGAGUAACCCCGUCAAUGAAUUUUCUACUGACCGUCUGCCGGUCAAGAGAGGCGAUCCAGGACGCCCCGUCAUCCCGAUCUCCAUCGGCAUGGUGGACUUCCCAGAAGCACUCUGCGACUUUGGCUCCAGUGUCAACAUUAUACCCAGGGUACUCUAUGAGAAAUUCUUUACAUAUCCUUUAUUAGAGACAACCAUGUGUUUGCAGUUUGCAGAUCAGACGAUAACUUUUCCAAAAGGAAUAGUGAGGAACCUUUGUGUCCGAGUUGGUACCUUGUAUGCCACAGCAGACUUCGUAGUGGUAGAGACCGGAAAUGAUGAGAGAGCACCUAUCAUCCUAGGGAGGCCAUUUUUGAACACCACGGGAGCUAUCAUCUACGCCAGUGCUGCUAAGAUCAGUUUCUACAUCAAAGGGAAGAAGGAAACAUUUUUCUUCAAAAACAAGACUACACAAAUUCCAAAUCAAUCCAGACGUCAAUCAAGGAAGAGGACCAACAGGAGGAACAGGAACAAGCAAGUGUGGACCGAGUCAGAUGGUCACUGUAGUCCAUGGAGGCCAAGAUCACCAACUUAAGUCACCGUGCUUGACCAAGAAGGACGACCCAGGAAUUUCAAGCAUUUACUGCUCCAUAAAUGGAUACAACUUCUACAAGACAAUUUGUGACACCGGAUCGGGCGUCAACAUAAUGGCCGCAGUCACCUAUCGGCUCUUGUUCAGGACCAUGCCACUAAGACCAACAUACAUUUAGCUCCAGAUGACAGAUUAGACAUUUCGAGAAGUUCAAGGAAUAGUAUCUGAUGUCCCAGUCAAAAUAGACGAUCAUUUUGUCUACACAGACUUUCAAGUUGUUGACAUGGGAGAAGACGAGUAUGAUCCACCCAUCAUCCUUGGAAGACCGUUACUCAGCACCGUUAAAGCCAUUAUCUACAUUGGAACCGGAGAAGUCCAUAUGCACUUCCCCUCAGAGAAGGUACGCUGUUAUUUUACUGACCCUAACUAUAUCAUUGAAGAAUCUAAGCAGGUAAGAAAACGACGCAACCGCAACCAGAGGAGGCAGAUCAUUAAGGACGGAUGGGCAGACUAUGAAGGAGAAGUUGUAAGGUCAGAAGACGUAGAGUUUAAACAGAAUUAUCCAGAGGAGAUUGAAGCACCGAGUCAGGUGUGGAAAAUGAAGAUAACUAUACAAGAAGAGGAGGCGCUGCCGGAAGUACCGACUACGCCACCCAACGAACCUCAGGACGAUUAAGAAAUUGGAGAGUCCCGUUCGGAGGACUUAAAAACACCGAACGCCUUGCCAAGAGGUAAACUUGGUAGUUACCCUUUCCCUUUCAGUUAUUUUAAAUAGUUUACUUAGUUAAACAUGCUCAUACUGUCUUAAAAAGAAAAUAAAAAUGUGAAAAAUAGUAAGCCCCAUGUGAAUAGACGAGUGGCAUGAAACCCAUACGUACAUUCACUGUGGUGGCACAAAAAUAAAAUAAAUAUUUUUCUGCUUUAUAAAAUAAAAAUAUAAAAACAGGGAGUAAUAAUUAUUAAGGAGUCUCAAGAUGAUAAAGGCUAGAUAUUUAUGCUAACACUUAAUCAGUUCCACAAGCUUUGUUGUCUAUUUGAGCUCCACAGAAUUUAAGAAUCAAGAAGACUAGCAGACGGAGGACAUUCUAAUCGCUGUCAGAAUGCUGCUUUCAAAUACACCUCUGCCACCUGCUAGCUACAUCAAGAGAAAUUACGUCAAAAUUCAGCAUGGGGGAGAGCACCCCCAUUUAUCUCGAUAAGUAUUUCUAUCUAUCUAUCUUUAUAUUUAUAUUAUUUUAGAAUAUUAAUACACAUAAACUAUGGGAAAACCAAAUAAAGAUUUUAUGCUUAUAUAUAUAUAUUACUUAGUGUGUUUAAUUAAUAAAUAAAGUGGCUAUGCUAAUCUGUAUCUAAUAAAACUUAAGCAUGGAUAUGAUGAAUAGUUGCUCUGCCUAAUUUGCACAUUUUAAGUUCUCUCUCAAGUUUAGACAUAACUGUUAUAAUUUAAAGCUUGCCCUAGACCUAAACUUGUGGGAUGAAAACUUGAUCUGAAGUCUAAGUUGUUAACGGAUACGAUAUAGGAAGGUUGAGCUGCUGUUUAUCUGUUCCUAGAGAUGCUAGAAUUCUGGAGAAUUUAUCUUUGAAAAUCUUUAAAAUGUUGCUUGACGAGUUCCUGUAUGAUGAGAGCUUAAAUUCCUACCACAGCCAUAUAUACAUGCUUGCUAGACUUUGAGCCACACAUUUACUAUUUACUGCUUAUGAGCAUUGAGUAUGGUCAAGCUGUGUAGACCCUUAGGAGCUUGUCAUGUGGUUAAAUCAAGAUUUCACUUGCACGUUCACUCAUAUAUGCUACUUCUACUCCGGAAGUACCAUCCACAUACAUCCACUCAUUUCCAUCUCCAGAACCACCUAAAAAUAUUCUACUCCUAAUCCGGGAGAGAAUAACCAAAAAUAUUUCUGUUUUCCCCUUGUGAAAUAAAUGCUCAAGUUAUCUUGUUACUACCACUUGCUAUAUUAUCUCAAGAGAUGAGUGCUCUAAAAAAAAGAAGAAGAAGAAAAUAAUACGAGGAAAUAAAAAGGAGCAAGUGCUCGGAACCUCGAAAGAAAAGAAAAAGUGAGACGAGAGGUAAAAAUGGACAAGUGUCCGACAGUAGAAUUAGGGGUGCAAGAUACCCAUCUGAGAGAAAAGAAAAAGAAGAGCAUCUCAUUCUCCUCAUAAAGUUUCAAAAGCAAGGAAGGUAUGUAUCCCCUCAGAAGAGCAAAGUAGAAUUAGACUUUCACCACCAUUGUUUUCACCAUUGUUUUCACCAUUGUUAUCACCAUCAUCACCAUAUACCAUUCAUUCGCCACACAUGCACAUCUUGAUUAAACUUAUUGACUUGUUACUUUGGAUCCAUGGUUUGACUAUGCAAUACAUGUCUUGUAAGUAUGUAUAUUUUAUCUCCCACCUAUGAGCUCCAGAUAUUAAAGCCUUAUUAGAGUAGGAUGAGAGAGAAGGCAAUGUUACUAUGCCUCAUACCACAAAUACCACAUAUCUUGAGAGAAGGCAUAUACCAUCAAUGCCUUGGUAAGGAUCCAAAAAUACCACAAAAGAGAGACCUGAGAGAAUCAUACAAGGAAUUCUGAGUUUUAUUUGAAAAUCUGCAAAAACCCCAGAGCUAUAGCUGAUCAAGAAUAAGAGACAUGGCACUUGGCUAGACUGUUCUAUCUUUUAACCACUCAAGACAGAAGUGACAGUUACAAGUCCCAUAGUGAAGGUAAAGUAAGUAAGUUUUAAGUCUUGACAGUUUACUCUAACUUAGAGAUGAGAUCUUAUUUAAGAGCAUGUGUACCGUCAAAUUUUUAAAGAUAUUGCAGCAACUUCUGAUCCAUAGCUGAGUCUAUCCUUGCUCAGGGACGAGCAAGAGGUAAGCUUGGGGUAGUUUGUUGACGGUCCUUAAGUAUCAAAUUUAAUUAUCAAAUAAAUAAAGAAAAGGAUCCAAAUGAAAUAAAGAUCUAGACUUAGGGUUUUAUCUGACAGAAUUCCACGAGUUUUGGUGUUUGUCUAUUUCUGCAGGGGGUUAUCAGGAAAUAUGGAAGAAAGGCCCACAUGUCAGGAUUACGUAAAGAUAUUAACGUGCUGCGCAAUUAUCUUACAUCUAGAAGACUCCAGAAGCCACGAAAUCGAAGCGGAGGCGAAUCGGGGCCAGAGACAGGGCGCCCGCCCUGUCCAACUGGGCGCCCGCCCUGCCCCUAAGUCCAAUCAGGACUCUGCUUUGCGGGAAGUCUCCACCGACCUAAAGGAUGAAUCUAAACCAUACAAUCUAUGUCGGUUUGAUCCAAGGGCCCAUAUUCACUUGAAGGGACUAUAAAACCAGACCCCCUGGCCCCUGGAGGAGGGAGCCUCUCAACCCUAAUUCAUUGUUCCAUCAAGGGAGAAGAAGCCUCUGAUCAAGAUUAGAGCCACCACAUCAAUUAGAUAUCUAGAUUAGCAUAGCUACAUAGGAUUAGAACUAGAAGGAGUCAAUCUUCGAUUGGUUUCCGGAUCUGUCAGGAGGAUUCUUGGUAAUUCUCUAAUUGUGCUUCUAAUUGCUUUCUAAUUAUCUUUGUUCUUCAAUAUUAUGAAUAUGACUUUGUUCUACUUCAAUAUAGUGCUUAUGACUUUGCUCUAUUUGCUUAUAUUCAAGAUUAUAUUGUUCUUAGUUUAUCAUAGUUAUGUACUUGGCUUAGUUAGAUACGAUCUAUAUACAUGCUUAGGAUCGUAUAGCGUUUAUCCAUCGGAUCCAUGGGUAAAUGAUAGAUAUUGUGUAGGCAUGGUGCUUAUACCGUAUUUAUCUGCGAUUGUACCCAAUAUGCCAGAUCGUGGGGUAGUUCGUGAUAGUGACAGCUUCAUUGAUUCUUAUAUAGUCCCCCUCUCGUGUAUUGGGCUGGCAGAGCAACAUUAUUACAGGGGAGUGAUUGCUAUGUUUCUCAUAUUCCUUGCUAAUAUCACUAUGCAUGGGCGUAGUCUUGUCUCGCAAUGAUUGCUAAGUAUGCUUGCACUAACUAUGAUAUGCUAGACUAUAUAGUUAAGAAUAACUUAGGGAAUAUUCUUGUAGUUCAUUCUAAUACCAUGCUAAUGACUUUCUAGAGUAUCUAAUUGAGGUGCUUAUCAUAUUUAUUAUGUGGCCAGAUCAGAUUAGUUAUCCUUGUCACUAUUAUCAUUUCAUAUAUCUAUUAUGUGACACUUAUCCCUGUAUGAAGAGUUAGGUAUAAUGUUCUCAAUUAUACAUGAAAUGAUAGAUGCUCAAUCUCAUAUUCUAUUCUGUAAUCAAUAGUGAUGAUUGAUUAUUCCCUUCCCAGUGGUAAAAAUAUAAAUAACGAUACCUGGAAUACUUCCCGGUUAAAAUGCUACAUCGGUAUUAAUCUGUGCGCUUGCAGAUCCCAUUCAUUAUUUAUUUAGAAGAGCAAUUGCAUAUUUCAAUACCGCGUCUCUCAUGUCAUGCUGGGGAUGACAACUUGGCUUAAGUGGUGUGAGGGAUAGGUUUGGCAUUUUUGGCACCGUUGCUAGAUUUAGAACUUAGUCUACUUUUGGUAAUGAUGUUAAGAAUACCCAACACCGGGGACAGGGCGCUCGCCCUCCCCCCUUGGGCGCCCGCCCUGGCCUCGGAGCCAAUCAGCUUCAAUCUUGCGGAUCAUGCUCCACCGACCUAAAGGAUCAAGGAAAACUGUGCGAUUAAUGUCAGUUUGAUCCGACGACCCAUAUUCACUUGGAAGGACUAUAUAAGCAGACCCCCUGGCCCCUAGAGGAGAGGACCUCUGACCCCUAAUUCAUUAUUCAUCUUGGGAGAAGAAGCCUCUGAUCAAGCCCUAGAGCCACCACAUCAAUUAGAUCUCUAGUUUAGCAUAGCUACAUAGGAUUAGAACUAGAAGGAGUCAAUUAUCGAUUGGUUUCCGGAUCUGUCAAGAGGAUUCUUGGUAAUUCCUCUAUUGUUAUUCAAUUGUUCAUCUUUGUUCUUCAAUAUUAUGAAUAUGACUUUGUUCUACUUCAAUAUAUUGAUUAUGACUUUGCUCUACUUGUUUAUGUUUGCAAUUAUAUUGUUUUUAGUUUAUCAUAGUUAUAUGUUUGGCUUAGUUAGAUUGGAAUUAUAUAUAUGUUUAGGAUUGUAUAGCGUUUAUCCAUGUGUACAGUGGGUAAAUGGUAAGUAUUGUGUAGGUGUGGUGCCUAUACCGUAUUUAUCUGCAAUUGUACCCUAUAUGCCGGAUCGCGAGGUAGUUCGUGGUAGUGACAGCUCCAUUGAUUCUUAUAUAGUCCCCCUCUCGUGUAUAGCGCUGGCAGAGCAACAUUAUUACAGGGGAGUGAUUGCUAUGUUUCUCAUAUUCCUUGAUAAUAUCACUAUGCAUGGGCGUAGUCCUGUCUCGCAAUGAUUGCCAAGUAUAAUUGCACUAACUAUGAUAUGCUAGACUUUAUAGUUAAGAAUAACUUAGGAAAUAUUCUUGUAGUUCGUCCUAAUUCCAUGCUAAUGACUUGCUAGAAUAUCUAUUGAGGUGCUUAUCAUAUUUAUAUGUGGCUAAGUUAUGCUUAUCAGAUUAAUUAUCUUUGUCACCAUUCAUACUUUAUCUAUCUUUUAUGUGACAUUUAUCCCUGUAUGAAAGAGGUAGAUAAAUGCUCUCAAUUAUACAUGCAAUGAUAGAUACUCAAUCCUAUAUUCCAUUCUAUAAUCAACAUUGAUGAUUACUAAUCCCUUCCCAGUGGUAAAAAUAUAAAUAACGAUACCUAGAAUACUUCCCGGUUAAAAUGCUACAUCGGUAUUAAUCUGUGCGCUUGCAGAUCUCAUUUAUUAUUUAUUUAGAAGAGCAAUUACAUAUUUCAAUACUGUGUCUCUCAUGUCAUGCUGGGGAUGACAACUUGGCUUAAGUGGCAUGAGGGAUAGGUUUGGCAUUUUUGGCGCCGUUAUCAGAAUUAGAAAACUUGGUCUAAUUUUGGUAGUGACGUUAAGAAUGCCCAACACCUGUCCUUCUUUAAAAGUUCUAGCCACAGCAUUGAAAAUAGUAUUGGACAGCACACUGGAUUGAUUGAUCAAAGCACGAUUAAUAGCAUUGUCAACCAUACCUUGCAAUUUACCAGGAUUGGCUUCAAAAGUAAUAUGCUGAGGCAUUGACAGUUCUUGCUUCUGGAUUACUUCACCGCUCCUGUUGAGGCUGAAGGAUUCCAAGCAGAGCUAUUUGUACUCCUCCAUAGCCCUUGCCAUGGCCUGCUUCUGCUCGUCCCGAAGAUCAGCUUCCGUCACGGCAAUGACAUUGUCUGCGUCGAGCUCAGCAGUAGCCAUGUUGAUCUUGUUGAUAGAUUUGUCCCACUGGGCAUGCCAAAAGAUGUGUUGAUGCAAAAGUGGAUCUACAAACACAAAGGGCUAAUACCCGAUUCAACGUUAAGGCAUGCCAGCCGAUUUGACCUUUCAAUCGACAAAGGUGGUAACUCGAAUACUUUGGUCCCGACAACAGCGAUGCGCCCAGAUGCCACGGCCAAGAGGUAUUCACGCGGAACUCAAGAACUCGUCGAGUAUGACUCAAAGAAUUCUUAAGAACUCGUAAGUAAAAGAAAAUAUACGAGUUGAUGAAGUCGUCGAAAAAAUAGAUGCAUAAGUUGAUGUAAAACUUAUGUAUGAUAUUGAUUGAUUCCCUUCUUACAUCGCUACUAGGCCUAUAUUUAUACUCUGUCUUAAAGAGUUACAACCAGAUACAACUAGGAUUUCAGUUCCAAACCAAAAAUAACUCGUAUAUAAAAUAAACUCUAACAAUUACGGAAAGUAACAAUCUAUCUAUUCUGGGUGAUCGGCACACCACCAUUAUCCUCCCGAUGACCCCCAUGUCUUCAUUCACCAUCAUCGUCAUACCAUCCUUCAUCGGCAUCGGCAAUCAUUAGAAUCAGCCAUCGACACCGAUCAACAACCAUCUUUGGACUUAGCCAUAUCUCCCUCCUGUUACCUUGUCAUCGGUAUCAUAGGCCAUCGGCGACCUCCUUAUCGGUCAGACACAGUUUCUUGUGAAAAUAGAACUUCUAUUGGGACAUAAUAUAAGAAAUCAGUUAAGAGAACCAGAGUAAGAAAAUUUCUAGUUCUUAUAAAAGUAAUGGGCCAAAUAAUAAAACCACACUAUCAUUCUUACUAUCUUGUAUGCCAUCCUAAGCACAUCUAUUUGUGGCCUCUUCUCUAUCUGAUGCACAGUGGUUACCAGCCAAUCGUGCCACCGCUUUGUGCACUUUCCACACCAAUACACCCACGUUGAUGGUCCUUAAUGUCAACAUUAUACCUUCAAUUAAUGUACAACAUAAUUGCAAAGGAGUUAUUAGUGCAUAGUUGUAGGUUUUAUUUUGACAAGUUCCACGAGUUGUGUUGCUCUCACCUCUUUUGAAGGAUUAUUGAUAUUUCACCACAUAAAAGUUUCUCAAAUGAUGAAACAAAGCACAUCAUUGCAAAGAGCUCAUCGAGACAAUUGAAACGGACAUAUCAUUUGCUAUAUUUAUAGCCUCAAUGAGAGAGUCUCUAAUGUAUACAUCCAACAAAUCUCUAGAAUACUCCAGAACCCUCACCAAGUAAGAGUUUUAAUGACUAACCUGACAAUUUCCAUAGUGAAAGAGCAUCUAGGCCCCUAAGUGAUUUUGGUGAUUAAUGACAAUGUUGGUUACUAUGACUAAUGUGUGUUUUGCAGAGGCAAAGUCCUAGGUAAGGUCAUGGUAAUAAGUACUCGAUGGACAGGGACGUACAUGCCUACUUAAUAGUGGAAAUCGUUUUUGAUUUUCAAAGGAUGGACGGACAUCGUCAAGACUAGACUAGGUCUAAGUGCCAUGUGGUGAAGAAGGGCACUUAGAGUAGUUUAGGAAUUUGUUUUCCUUUGACCGUACUAUUAAGAGGGGCUUUGAUCUAGUAGCUUGACUUUGGCAAGGCUUUAGGUUUAGGUGUGGUGCACACUUGGUAAACCUAGCACUAGGCAGCUCAGAGAUAGUCCUUAGAUCGAGAGGAACCAACUUCGUUUUGGAGCGAUCGCAUUUUGACGAAGUUAGGGUGCCCAAGGGGGCACCGGACGCUCUGUGAGUGCGUCCGAUGAGGUCCUUAGCCGUUGGAACAGUGUGGUGCUUAGGGUUAAGCACGGACGCUGGCACCGGACUCACCGGGCAGCGUCCGGUCUCAUACCCAGGGAGGUUGUAGACCUGCCCCGAGCACCGGACGCUGGCACUGGACUCACCGGGCAGCGUCCGGUCUCAUACCCAGGGAGGUUGUAAACCUGCCCCGAGCACCAGACGCUGGCACCGGACUCACCGGGCAACGUCCGGUCUCAUACCCAGGGAGGUUGUAAACCUACCCGAGCACCGGACGCUAGCACCGGACGCACCGGGUAGCGUCCGGUCCCAUGCGCAGGGAGUAUGUAAAACUCCCCGGAGCACCAGACGGUGCCACCGGACGCUAAGAGUUAGCGUCCAGUGACGUGUCAGACGCAUGUACAGUUAGCCGUUAUGGAGCACCGGUUGCUCGGUGCAGAGCGUCCGGUGCAACAUAAAGAGCAUCCAGUGACCCCGUUUUCAGUGGAAAACGGUUGGCUGACCUUUGGACUUCAUGGGUAGUAUUUAUACUCCUCCACCUCAUCCAUGAGAGCUCUCUUGCCCAUUUUGAACAUCUGAGAAACUUGUUGUGGAGCAAGAGAGUAGCAAGAGCCUAGAGAGGAUUGAGUUUUGAGUGAUUUCUUGAGAGAAUCCUUCUGUAGUGAAUUCCAAGAGUCAAGUGUGCAUCCACCACUCUCUAGAGCCUUGUUUGGGUCAAGUGAGAGUUCUUUGCUUGUUACUCUUGGUGAUCGCCAUCACAUAGAUGGUUCGGUGGUGAUUGGAGGCACGAAGAGCGCCUGGAGUUCUUGUGGGUGGCUCGUGUCAAGCUUGUGAGCGGUUUUGGGCGAUUCACCGCGAUGGAGUGUCGAAGAAUCAGCCCAUAGAGAGCACUUGGUCGUUGCGCGGACCAAGGGGGAGCAAGACCCUUGCGCAGGUGCUCCAACGAGGACUAGUGGAGAGUGGCGACUCUCCGAUACCUCGGCAAAACAUCGCCGAGCACUUUCUUCCACUACUCCUUCACUUUCUAGCAUUUACUUUGUGUCUUUACAUUCUUAGAAUUGCCUUGCUAGAAUAGGAUUGGAACUAGGUUGCAAAACUUUUUAUCCGGUAGCUCUCUAGGUCACACUAGGCACAAGGGGUUGAAUUGGAGCUUAUAGGUUGCUUAAAUUUUUAGAGAAGCCCAAUUCACCCCCCCCCCUCUUGGGCAUCUUGAUCCUUUCAAUUGGUAUCAGAGCCUAAUGCUCAUUAUUUAGGCUUCACCGCCUAGAGAAAGAUGUCUAAUGGGGAUGGACCGCCACCCAUGUUCGAUGGGGAUGACUUCCCGUAUUGGAAAAUACAAAUGGAGUCAUAUCUUGAGGCAUGCGAUGUAAAGUGCCUAAAAGCCGCGACCGAAGGGUUUACCCCUCCGGCAAAAGACACCGCUCUUACUCCACAAGAGCAAGAAAAUGAGAAGUGGAAUGCGAAGGCCAAAAACCACAUUUUUAGAGGCCUUUGCAAAGAGGUGUUCAACCGCGUUCGGAGCCACAAAACCGCCAAUGCCCUUUGGAAGGAACUUUGUGCGCUCCAUGAGGGAUCAAAGAGUGAACGCGAGGAACGCUAUCACUUAGUGAUGAACAAGCUUAAUACAUUUGAGAUGCUUCCAAAAGAAAAUGCUAAUGAAAUGUAUUCUCGCUUGAAUGUCAUUGUAGAGGAGCUUAAUGGACUUGGGCUCACCCAAAUGAGUGCGGUGGAUGUAGCAAGGAAGAUACUAUGUGUGCUUCCCAUUGAGAAAUAUGGGCACAUAGUAACGGUGCUUCAUCAAGGCGAUCUUUCCACCGCUACACCAACCGCCAUAUUGGGGAAGAUCAAUGCUCUUGAGAUGUACAUGCACAUGAACCCCCAAGAUGGCUCCUCAUCGGCCAAGAAGGAGAAGAAGGACUUGGCCCUCAAAGCUUCUCACAAGGGCAAGGCCAAGAAGAUUGAAGUUGAGUCAUCAACUUCAAGUGAUGAUGAUGCAUCGAUUGCCCUCAUGGUGAGAAGAACCACAAAGAUGUUGAAGAAGCUCAACAAGAAUGGAGUCAACUUUGACUCCAAGAAGAAGAAGUUCUUCACAAGUAGCAAGAGAAAGCCCAUCUCCGAGAUGGAUUGCUACAAUUGUGGUGAGCUAGGGCAUCUUGCUCAUCAAUGUCCAAAGCCCAAGAAGGACAAAUACAAGAAAAAGAACAAAGAGCAAGAUGACUCAAGUGAUGAUGAGAAGAAUGAAAAGAAGCCAUACAAGAAGAGAGGUGGCAAGAAGAAGGAGCACUACAAGAAGAAGAAUGGCAAGGCCUACAUUGUUGGUGAUUGGCUCACCGACAUUGAGAGCUCAAGUGGUGACUCUUCCGGCGAUGAGAGUGAUAAUGAGAAGGUUGCCGCUAUUGCCAUUGAUGCUCCAUCACCAUCAUCUUCACCACCAUCUACAUCCUCUACACACCUAUGCCUCAUGGCUAAGGGUGACCGGAAGGUACAAAGUGAGGAUGAGUGUAGUGAAAGUGAUAGUGAAUAUGAAUCACCUUCUUAUGAUGAACUUGUAAAAUUGCUAAACAAGUACACAAAAGUCAUAAGAAAAUCUAGAAGUGAAAAUUAAAAGCUUGAACUUGAAAAUGAAACACUUCUAGCAAAACUUAAAUCUAGUUAUGAGCUUAGAGACCAAAAUGAGAUCAUGACCACUAAGCUCAAGGAGCUCAAACUCUCCUUAAAAGAGCUCGAAGAAAAACAUGAUAAACUUGAGAGUGUUCAUGAUGAGCUUAUCACUAGAUAUAGAGCAAUGAAAGAAGAGCUAACAACUCUAAAAGCCAACUAUGACAACCUUGAAAUUGCUUAUGAACUUGCAAUUGAUGAAACACAUGUUGCUACUAACCAUGUUGCUAAGCUUGAUGUAGGCACAUCUUGUGAUGACUUACUUGUGGAGAGCACAAACAAAUGUGUUGAUUGCAAGGGCAAGAAAGUGGUAGUGGCCGAGAGUUAUGAGGACACUAUCAAACUCAAGGAUGAAAUUGUCAUGCUCAAGAAAGAGUUGCAAGAGCAAGCCAAGCACAAGACCAUUGUGAUUGAGACACUAGAUCAAGACAAGAAGCUUGCUUAUGAGAACAAGUUACUCAAAGAAGAAAACCAAUAUCUCAAGCUUGGUUUGAUGUAUGACAAGCAAGAAGAAGAUGAGACAUUCAUCUUGGAUGAGUUAGCUAGCAACAAUGACCCAAUCAUCAAGAAGCUAACUCAAGAAAACAACAAGCUCAAGAAAGAGAAGGAACAUCUAACCAUGGGGUUAGCAAAGUUCACAAAAGGAAAGGACCUUCAAAGUGAGCUUUUCAUGAACACCGUCAUGAAGAUGGAUAAGAGUGGAAUUGGCUACAAGGCUCAUCAAACAAAGCUCAUCAAGUCUCUAGUCACUCAUGAUCAACCAAGCAAGCCAAAGCCAAAGAGAUGCUUUGAGUGUGGUCAAUAAGGACACUUUGCUCAUGAGUGUAAGGCACCACUACCACCACCUUUGCCCAAGCAUGCAAGACCAUUUGCCUUCAAUGCUCACUACAUUGUAAGAAAAGACAAGAGUGGCAAGGUCAAGGUUAGCUUCAUGGGGCCACCUAACAAGCAAAGGCCAAAGAAAAUUUGGGUGCCAAAGCCACUAGUAGAGAAGGUCAAGGGCCCUAAGCAAAUGUGGGUCCCUAAAUCUCAAGCUUGAUCUCUUGUGUGUAGGUGAACUACAAGACCGGUGGAUCACAUUGGGUAAUUGAUAGUGGUUGCACUCAACAUAUGACCGGAGAUCCCUGGAUGUUCAGCUCUCUAGAUAAAGAUGUUGACAACCAAGAAAAGAUCACAUUUGGUGACAAUUCAAAAGGCAAGGUCAAGGGACUAGGAAAAGUUGCUAUAUCAAAUGACAACUCCAUCACCAAUGUGCUCUAUGUGCAAUCUUUAAGUUUUAACUUGCUCUCGGUUGGACAACUUUGUGAUCUUGGAUUUGAAUGCCUAUUCAAGAAGAAGGAAGUGAUUAUAACCAAGGAAGAUGACAAUGAAGUGAUAUUCAAAGGCUUCCGUCACAACAACUUAUAUGUAGUUGAUUUCUCAUCCGAUGAAGUUGAUGUCAAGACUUGCUUAUUCACCAAGACUUCACUUGGGUGGUUGUGGCAUAGAAGGUUAGCACAUGUUGGAAUGGGCACACUCAAGAAGUUGAUGAAGAAAGAAUUGAUUAGAGGCUUGAAGGAUGUGACAUUUGAAAAGGAUAAGCUUUGUAGUGCAUGUCAAGCCUGCAAGCAAGUUGCAAACACUCAUCCAACCAAGGCCUAUCUCUCUACUUCAAGAGUGCUUGAGCUACUUCACAUGGAUUUAUUUGGACCAACCACAUAUGCUAGUCUUGGAGGAAACAAAUAUUGCUUGGUCAUAGUGGAUGACUUCUCCCGGUACACUUGGACAUUCUUCUUGCAAGACAAGGCCGAAGUUGCAUCAGUAUUCUAGAAGUUUGCAAAGAAUGCCCAAAAUCAAUUUGAUGUGAAGAUCAACAAGAUUAGAAGUGACAAUGGCAAAGAGUUUGACAACACCAACAUUGAAGAGUAUUGUGAUGAAGUGGGAAUCAAACAUGAGUUCUCCUCAACAUACACACCACAACAAAAUGGGGUUGUAGAAAGAAAGAAUCGGACAUUGAUUACCUUGGCAAGAACAAUGUUAGAUGAAUACAACACUUCGGAGAAGAUGUGGGCCGAGGCAAUCAACACCGCAUGCUAUGCUUCAAACCGGCUCUUUCCUCACAAGUUCCUAGAGAAGACACCAUAUGAGUUGCUAAAUGGGAAGAAGCCCGAUGUCUCAUUCUUUAGAGUGUUUGGGUGCAAAUGCUACAUCUACAAGAAGCGCCAACACUUGGGAAAGUUCCAAAGAAGAUGUGACAUUGGCUACUUGGUUGGCUAUUCAUCAAAGUCCAAGGCAUAUAGGGUCUUUGACCAUGCCACAAACAUGGUUGAAGAAACAUUUGAUGUUGAAUUCGAUGAAACUAAUGGCUCCCAAGGAGCAAGUGAUAAUCUUGAUGAUGUAGGUGGUGAACCAUUGAGGGAUGCCAUGAAGAACAUGCCGGUGGGAGACAUCAAGCCAAAAGAAGAUGAUGAUGAUGUGCAAGUUAUUGAGCCACCAUCCACCUCACAUGUACCACAAGAUGAAGACAAGUAUGUAAGAGAUGCUCAUGAAGACACUCAAGUCACUCAUGAGCAAGCGGUGGCACAAGCACAAGAUGUUGAUGCUCCCCAACCAACCCCUCAAGUGGUGCCAAGAAGAACAUCACAUCUCCUCCAAGAUCACUCUCAAGAUCUCAUCAUCGGGAGUCCAUCACGUGGUGUAACUACUCGUUCUAGACAUGCUUUAUUUAUUGAACAUCAUGCCUUUGUGUCUCUUGAAGAUGAACCAAAGACUAUAGAGGAAGCUCUUCGUGAUGCGGAUUGGAUCAUGGCUAUGCAAGAGGAGUUGAAUAACUUCUCUCGCAACCAAGUGUGGACACUUGAAGAGCGACCCAAAGAUGCAAGAGUGAUUGGAACAAAGUGGGUCUUCCGGAACAAGAAGGAUGAUCAAGGCAAAGUGGUGCGCAACAAGGCAAGGCUCGUGGCAAAAGGCUUUUCACAAGUGGAAGGUCUUGACUUCGGUGAAACCUUUGCACCGGUGGCAAGACUUGAAGCAAUCCGUAUCCUACUUGCAUAUGCAUCUAGUCAUGAUAUCAUGUUAUUUCAAAUGGAUGUGAAAAGUGCUUUUUUGAAUGGCUAUAUUAAUGAGCUUGUCUAUGUUGAGCAACCCCCCGAUUUUGAAGACCCUAGGUACCCCAAGCAUGUCUACCGGUUGUCCAAGGCUCUCUAUGGUCUAAAGCAAGCUCCUAGAGCUUGGUAUGAGAGGCUUAGGGAUUUCCUCAUUGAGAAGGGCUUCAAGAUUGGGAAAGUUGACACAACACUCUUCACCAAGAAAAUGAAUGGGGAAAUCUUCAUUUGCCAAGUUUAUGUUGAUGAUAUUAUUUUUGGCUCUACUAAUGAAGACUUUUGCAAGGAAUUUGGUGAUUUGAUGUCCAAGGAGUUUGAGAUGUCCAUGAUUGGCGAGCUAUCCUUCUUCCUAGGAUUUCAAGUCAAGCAAAUGAAGGAAGGAGUUUUCAUCUCUCAAGAGAAGUACACACAAGAUCUUCUCAAGAGGUUCAAGAUGAUGGAUUGCAAGCCAAUCAAGACUCCCAUGGCAUCAAAUGGGCAUCUCGACUUGGAUGAGGGAGGUAACCCAAUUGACAAGACUCUCUAUCACUUCAUGAUAGGAAGUCUACUCUACCUCACCGCAUCUAGGCCUGAUAUCAUGUUUAGUGUGUGUAUGUGUGCUAGAUAUCAAGCAAUGCCUAUGGAAUCUCACUUGAUUGCCGUCAAGAGAAUUCUUAGGUAUCUAAAAUACAUGCCUUGCCUAGGUUUGUGGUAUCCCAAAGGUGCAAGAUUCCAACUUGUAGGCUAUUCCUAUUCGGAUUAUGCCGGGUGCCGGAUUGAUAGAAAAAGCACAUCCGAAGGGUGCCAUUUCCUAGGUAGAUCACUUGUCUCUUGGAUGUCAAAGAAACAAAAUAGUGUUGCCUUGUCAACGGCCGAGGCGGAAUACAUUGCCGCCGGUGCUUGUUGUGCACAAAUACUCUACAUGAAACAAACUUUGCUAGACUAUGAAGUAGUACUAGACAAAGUACCUUUGUUGUGUGACAACGAAAGUGCCGUAAAACUUGCAAACAACCCGGUUCAACAACCCGCACAAAACAUAUUGACAUCCGCCACCACUUCCUUAGGGAUCAUGUUGCUAAAGGUGACAUAUCUCUAGAGAAUGUGGGAACGGAAAAUCAAUUAGCGGAUAUCUUCACAAAACCCCUAGAUGAAGCUAGGUUUUGUAUGUUGAGAAAUGAACUUAAUGUGCUUGACCUCUCUAACUUCACUAAAAGAUAAAGUUGUGUGUUGAAAUUUGUAAAUAGUUUUUGCCUUGCAUAUCAUGCAUACUAAAACUAAAAUACAACUUGCAUGUAGGGCUUGUCUAACAUGGUUAAGAUAACCCCCUUGAGUGUGUGAAAAAGCUUAACCUUGAAUCAAACUUGACAAGCAUUAGUUUACUUGCAAGUAUUGCAUUACAACUCAUAUCAUAUGCAUGCUUGUUAGUUGACCGUUUCUUUUCGGUUAUUCUUUGAGGAUCCGCUAUGUUCGUCCAUAGAUAGGGGGAGCAUUCAAAGCUCAUUAUUUUACAAACCCCUAGCUUUAUGGCCAUAUGAUGCUCCUUGGUGAUUUCUCAAAUUAUUUUCAUAAAAUCUACUAAGCCUAUGGCUAAAUAUUUGUGAAAAUUUGAGGGUGUGAGAGAGGUCACUCAUACCAGUUCCAUUUGGUGUUUGGUUGUGUGUUCUUGAAGAUGGAACUCGGUUGGGUCAGAGUCAGACGUUGUGCUAGUUGACAAAGGACUCAGAGGUGCACCGGACGAUGCACUGGACGCUGUCUCAGUGCGUCCGGUGCGGUGAGUGUGCUGGACUGCACUCACCGGACGCAGGAAUAGUGUCCCUGCAGCGUCCGGUGCUCACCUGGCGUGCCCCAGAGCACCGGACGCUAAGGUCAGCAUCCGGUGUCCAUCGUCCGGUGAAAUGCAGACUUUCAAACCUCUUUGCGCAUGAGUCCGGUGAUCACCGGACGCGUCCGGUGCCACUUUAAGAGCGUCUGGUGACCCCACGGCUGGCGCAUAUAACCCGCGCCCCCGGGUCGGUUUUGAGCCUUUGUUUCUUUUCCCCGUGACGCCGUUGACUCCGCCCGUGCCCUAGCCCGCCGAAAUCGCCGCUGCCGCCGUUCUUCUCCAAGAUCCGGCGCCCUCAAGCCUCUCCUCUCGCGCCAGUUUUCUCCCCAAGAGUCUUCUCCUUGUUUCUCCUCGAGUUAAAGUAUUCUUAUCCCGUGGAGAUUAGGGUUUGGGUGAGUUCUUGUUUCCAUGCCCUCAAGGUGUUUGGUUUAAUGCCUAAACGGAUUUGGAUGUUGUUUUUGAUAAUAUUCUCUUUCGUUUACCCUUAAUAGCAUCUUGAGGAAUUGGUUCGCGUCCUCCGGCAGGUUUUGAUCGUGUUUUGUCAUCCGGAACGCAUCUCGUCGCCCGUUCGUAAGCCGUUCGCGCCCGUUCCUUAUCGAUUCUUGUGGUCUAUAGGGUUUUCUCAUCUCUAGAUAUUAUGUUUGCUUAUGUAUGCCCUAUCUUGUCUAUUAUCUGCAGAGCGUCGAUCUCUUUUGUCAGUAGGCUAGCUGUCGGCAGUUUCCUCAGUCAGUCGUUAUUGCGAUGGCUCGUACCAAGAACGUCAGUGGUCCGGCAGCUGGCUCAGGAGCCUCUCCAGGAGGUGAUGGUGGUAAUGAUCCUCCCCGUUGCCUGUCAGCGGCAGAGAAGGGCAAAGGCAAGAAGUUAGCCACCAAGAAGCGCAAGGCCAGCGACAGAGAGGCAGAGGUGGCAGAGGCAGCUGCAGCAGCAGCUAAGGCAGCUGAGAGGGGUGGUCGCUCAGGUGCGCUGAGGAUUGGGGAUGAUCUCACGCCACAGCAGAGGCGUGCAGUUCUUCAGGCAGAGGCUCUCCAUGGAUCCCCUCCAGGCACUGUUAUGGUAGGGGGUCAGCGGGUCAGGAUUACUGUCAGAGAUCCAGCACAGGAGGACCCGGAUACAGAGACCGAGGGUCCGACAGAGGGACAGCAGCAGGAGCAGCCUCUCAGGAGGUCGACUCGUGCAGAUACCCAGGCCACUCCUCGGACUGGUACGCAGGGCCAGUAUACCUCUGGUGCUCGUGCUACACCAGCUAGAGGCACACCAGCUCCUCACUAGGGACCCGUCAGGAUUCAUAGGGAUCUCACCUAGGUUUCAGCUAGGGAGAUCCAGCAGCUGCGGUUCGUUCCGUUUCCCACUUGGUUUCCAGCUGCUAGGGAUCCACAAGCCGGUGCCAGAUUCUACACAGUAGUCCAGGAGGACAUCUAUGAGGCACUGAUUCGUUCACAGUCUCAGCUCAGGGAGCACCGAGUUAUUGACCUUGAGAUUCUAGGGAACGUGGUUGGUGCAGAUAUUCGUCAGUACUUCACUUACCUCCACGGCCUCCCAGAGUUGCUAGCUCUCCCUGGUACUUACUGUGAGUAGUGGGUUCGAGAGUUCUACGCGUCAGUGUGGGUUUCUCUGGAUCACACCUAUAUCCACUACGCACUAGCAGGCUCAGACUACAAGGUCACAGCACAGAGGGCCAGAGACGUACUUGGUUUGAGAGCUUACUCCACCAGGAUUCAGCAGCUUUGCUACGGAGACUUCGAGCCCCCUCGACGUCCUCACGGUGGUGAGAUACCACCGGUUGACUUUGUGGCUCCCCGAUUUCGUCCGCCAUUCGGAGAGGGCUCCAAUCGGACAGUGGGAGACUUGACACGCCCAGCCAGGAUCCUCGACUUUGUGUUGAGGAAGACUCUUCUCCCCAGGACAGGCUACAAAGAUGGCUUCACCAGGAUACAGCAGUGGCUAGUCGCGCACCUCAUCUCGAAGACACCUUUUGACCUAUGGGAUCUGAUAGUCUCAGAGAUUGAGGACACUAUCUCAGAGAGCUUCAGGGGACGGCGUCAGUUGCCGUAUGCACACUGGAUCACCUUGCUUAUUCUUCGUGCUAGGCCUGUACCCCUUCUAGCUCACCUACAGAGAGAGCUGACUGACUCCGACACUAUCUUUCCCCACUGCGACCCCAGGCAGAUGUUGAGAGCUCAUCACGACCUCAGAGCCACUCCACCUCCUCAUGCACCACGUGGACCGGUGCCCCCGCCUUCUCCUAGGGGCACUCGCAGUACAACAGCAGUACCAGAGACCGAGGAGCAGCAGGACAUAGCCAUUGGGGCUUUUGCAGAUGCUGAGGCUGAGGGAGAGUUUGACUUCGCUUCGGACAGCUCGGACGAUGACUAUCGUCCUCCAGUGUCAGACCUUCCACCAAGGGCACACGACCACGAGGCAGGAGGCUCCUCGAGUGCUUCAGACCCCGCUCUGCUUGCCAUUCUAGAGGGGAUGAGGGCCGAUCAGCGGCGGGCAGCUGAGGAGCAGGCGAGGAGAGACAGGGACCAGGCUGCCAUCAAUGCAGCCGUGCAGGCUAGCCAGGAUGAGCUCCAGCGACAGUUUCUGACUUUUUAGGAGCAGCAGCUUGCGUUCUAGGCCCAGCAGACAGCGAUGAUGGCCGAUCUUAUGGCCGCCUCAGGGAUUUAGAUUUCGCAGAUACAGCUCCCAGGCACUUCAUCUGUCAGGCCACCCACUCCAGCACCUCAGACUCAGAGUCAGUCUCAGCAGCCGUUACAGCUACCCGCUCAGAGUCAGCCGUUCUCGACGCCUCAGCACUAGGUCUCUCAGGGUGCUAUCUCCUCUGGCUUUGAGCAGGUCCCGCAGUUUACGCCUCUCCGCUCUGGUUUCACGCCUCAGUCAGCGACAGCGUCACAGCUUGUGUUGGACUCGUCGACAGACCCGCACCUCAGCUUCUCUUAUAGUGCUCUGACUGGUGACCCUACGCCUCCACCCCUGCAGGCUCCUGCAGCUUUUACGGUUCCAGUCACCACUACUGAGCGUCUGUCAUCGUCAGUAGCAUCGUCUGAGCAGCUUGCACCGUCGUCUACAGUGCCAGAGACUUCAGCUACCGCGACCGAGUCCGUACCCACUUCGUCAGUAGGACUAGUGCAGCCCGCACAACCAGUGACAACUUUAGCGCCUCUAGAGCAGACCCAGACCACUUUGCCAGCUCGUGCAGCUUCAGAGGGUCACUCCACCUCCUCCGCCUCAACGGCCGAUGGUUCAGACGAUGCAACUCGCUUUGAGGCCGUGUCGAGGGACUCCACUGCUCCGCCGCCUCCUUCGUCUUCUUAGGUUUUUGGUGCUUGAUGCCAAAGGAGGAGAGAGAGUAGUGAGUAUGAGAGUUAGGGGGAGCUAGAGGCUAGAGAGAGGGGGUGUUAGUCUUAUUUUGAUAUACUCUUGUGUGCUACUCCAUGCAUCACGUUUAUCUUUAUGCAUUGCUUUUGUGUGAGAUACACUAUGGUUGUGAGACAUGACUUGUUCUUAAAUUGUGAUAUCUCUAUGUCAUGUCUUUGGCUCAUAUUAUCUUUGCUUCCGCGUUUUACUCCGAUGUACUUAUGAGCCUUGUGUUCAUAUCCUGCUGUAUACCACUCACGUAUUUGGAUGCAGGAUGUUAGACUUGGUUGAGAUAAGCAUGCCUAAUUCUUUUGUUCUUGAUGUAUCAUGCUUAUUGAAACCAAGUCAUUUGAAAACCUUAACUCUUUUCAUACUCGAGGUUAUUGUCAUCAAUCACCAAAAAGGGGGAGAUUGAAAGAGCAUCUAGGCCCCUAAGUGAUUUUGGUGAUUAAUGACAAUGUUGGUUACUAUGACUAACGUGUGUUUUGCAGAGGCAAAGUCAUAGGUAAGGUCAUGGUAAUAGGUACUCGAUGGACAGGGACGUACAUGCCUACUUAAUAGUGGAAAUCGUUUUUGAUUUUCAAAGGAUGGACGGACAUCGUCAAGACUAGACUAGGUCUAAGUGCCAUGUGGUGAAGAAGGGCACUUAGAGUAGUUUAGGACUUUGUUUUCCUUUGACCGUACUAUUAAGAGGUGCUUUGAUCUAGUAGCUUGACUUAGGCAAGGCUUUAGGUUUAGGUGUGGUGCACACUUGGUAAACCUAGCACUAGGCAGCUCAGAGAUAGUCCUUAAAUCGAGAGGAACCAACUUCAUUUUGGAGCGAUCGCGUUUCGACAAAGUUAGGGUGCCCAAGGGGGCACCGGACGCUCUGUGAGUGCGUCCGGUGAGGUCCUUAGCCGUUGGAACAGUGUGGUGCUUAGGGUUAAGCAUCGGACGCUGGCACCGGACUCACUGGGCAGCGUCCGGUCUCAUACCCAGGGAGGUUGUAAACCUGCCCCGAGCACCGGACGCUGGCACCGGACUCACCGGGCAGCGUCCGGUCUCAUACCCAGGGAGGUUGUAAACCUGCCCCGAGUACCGGACGCUGGCACCAGACUCACCGGGCAGCGUCCGGUCUCAUACCCAGGGAGGUUGUAAACCUGCCUCGAGCACCGGAUGCUAGCACCGGACGCACCGGGUAGCGUCCGGUCCCAUGCGCAGGGAGUUUGUAAAACUCCUCGGAGCACCGGACGGUGCCACCGGACACUAAGAGUUUGCGUCCGGUGACCUGUCAGACACAGGUACAGUUAGCCGUUAUGGAGCACCGGUCGCUCGGUGCAGAGCGUCCAGUGCAACAUAAAGAGCGUCCGGUGACCCCGUUUUUAGUGGAAAACGGUUGGCUAACCUUUGGACUUCGUGGGUAGUAUUUAUACUCCUCCACCUCGUCCAUGAGAGCUCUCUUGCCCAUUUUGAACAUCUGAGAAACUUGUUGUGGAGCAAGAGAGUAGCAAGAGCCUAGAGAGGAUUGAGUUUUGAGUGAUUUCUUGAGAGAAUCCUUCUCUAGUGAAUUCCAAGAGUCAAGUGUGCAUCCACCACUCUCUAGAGCCUUGUUUGGGUCAAGUGAGGGUUCUUUGCUUGUUACUCUUGGUGAUCGCCAUCACCUAGACGGUUCAGUGGUGAUUGGAGGCACGAAGACCGCCCGGAGUUCUUGUGGGUGGCUCGUGUCAAGCUUGUGAGCGGUUUUGGGUGAUUCACCGCGACGGAGUGUCGAAGAAUCAGCCCAUAGAGAGCACUUGGUCCUUGCGCAGACCAAGGGGGAGCAAGACCCUUGCGCGGGUGCUCCAAUGAGGACUAGUGGAGAGUGGCGACUCUCCGAUACCUCGGCAAAACAUCGCCGAGCACUUUCUUCCACUACUCCUUCACUUUCUAGCAUUUACUUUGUGUCUUUACAUUCUUAGAAUUGCCUUGCUAGAAUAGGAUUGGAACUAGGUUGCAAAACUUUUUAUCCGGUAGCUCUCUAGGUCACACUAGGCAUAAGGGGUUGAAUUGGAGCUUAUAGGUUGCUUAAAUUUUAGGAGAAGCCCAAUUCACCCCCCUCUUGGGCAUCUUGAUCCUUUCACAUAGCUUUGGUGAAUUGUGAAUUUUCAAGGAUGAAAACAGAAUAAACCACAGAAGAGUAGAAGCCAAGGAACCAAACCAAAUCAAGUCAGAAUUCUACAAGAAUUGAUGGGAAGGUUCUAGACGACAUGAGAACAAAAUGGGAGCUCGAUGGCUGACAGGUGGGGCUAGCUGGCCCCACAUGAUAGGUCGGCCGGCCUAGGCCCACAUGGAAGUAAGCUUAGCUUCAAACAUGGCUUCGAACCGACCUCUACGAUGCAUCUCGCCAUUGUUUCAAGUUAGUUUGAUCUGAAGGCUAUGGUUCAUCCCACGGGUUAUAUAAGUAGGGGAGACCCCCAAAGUCCGUUUCAUCCGAAGGUUGUUGUUCAUCCCAUCGGGUCUAUCCUCAGUUGAUCUCUCAUUCAGAAGGCUAGAGAGAAAAGCUAGGGUUUCUAAUUAGAAAAUUAGAGCUCUACUUCAAGUUUAGGGUUAGAUCUAGCUAGAUACAAGUAGAGUUGAGUGCGGCUCAGGCUUCUGGAUCAACGUCAGGAGAUUUGGUAAUUCUAUCGUUGUAUCUUGUAAUUAUGAGUUUGUGCUACUUCAAUAUCAUUAUGUUUUUGUUUAUUUUAUUCUUAGUUUACUCUAGUUCUAUCUUUGAUAUAGUCUUGAUUGAUAAGAAGUUUAUGCAUAAGUUUGUAGAGCACUUAGUUCAACUCUAGAUUGAAUUAGGUGGUAGAGAUAAUGUAGGCAUGGUGAAAGCCCUAGUUUGGUUUUGGAUAACUGAUGAAAGCUAAAGUACUGACCUUUAUGCUAAGUAUGUGAAUUAUAUAUGGUUGUUACAUGCCAUGUGAUGGAGCAAGAGAGCAAGAUAUGAUCAUGGUGAUUAUGGUGAUGACCACAAGAUGAUCAAGUGCUCCACUUAGAAAAGUAGAAAGAGAAAAACAAAACUUUAUAGAGAUCAAGGCAAAGGUAUUACUUAGGGUUUUGGUUUUAGUGAUCAAGACACCAUAGAGGGUGUGAUCAUAUUUAGGAUAGAUAGCUGUACUACAAAGAGGGGAAUUCUUUGACUAAGCGUUAUCAAGUGCCACUAGGUGUCAUUAUUCAUGCGCAUGCAUUUAGAACAUGGUGUGCUAACUUAACCCUUAAAAAUGUUUAUGAAAAUAUGCUAACACACGUGUGCUGUAACAGAACUAUCCAAAUUAUAAGAGAUUAAGCCUAAUAGUGACCAUUUGCACAGUCGAACUAUCGAGCUUAAUCCAAUAUAUCCCGGUUGUUCGUGAAAUCUUAAGGGAUUUCAAAUGUUUUACACAGGUAAUAAGUUUAGCAAUCACCAUCCACAAGUUACAUAAAGUUACAUCAUUCCAGAAAUCACAUCAGAGCUCAAACACAAUUAUUGCAAACCAAGUUCAAAUGUAGCAGAAACAUUUCAGUUUUGGAAAUCACACACGCUUAGUUUGUUACAAUGUCAGCUGAUCAUUCCCACAAAAGCAAAAGAUGAGAUUGAGUGACCACGCCCUUGGUCUAGUCAUCACCCAUCAUUGGGUACAAGCAAUUGAUGCAAUAACCAUAAUACAUCUGCCCAUCUACAAAACAACAUGGGAAUAGAACCCUGAGUACGAGAAUGUACUCAGCUAGACUUACACGUCAUGAAUCAGAAAUAAAUGACUCCAAGGAUCAUGAAAGGCUGUAUAGUGGGGUAGCUGGACACUUUUUGCAUAGAAGCUUAAGCUACUAAAUAUGUGGCCCCCUUCUUUUAUUUAGCUCAAGUUAAGUAAUAUUACCUAUCAUCUAGGUUAGCACCUGUGCUAUUGCAAUUAGUUGGUUCAAUAUAAUAAUACCAGAACCACAUAGCAUUCACCUUUUAUCAUAUACCAUAACCACAGUGUUUCAUAGUCCUACUACGAGGACAAAGCUCAAGCCAUGUGCUCACUAUCUAGGAGCGAUGGCGAUUCGAAUAGAUUUUUAACCAGCUGUUGACUCUUCUUAGCGACACUACCUAGGAUCAUCAGUCCUUGGCACAACACUAGAAAUGCUUGUGUGACACCAGAAGUGGCAAACGGUUUUACCGCAAGCGGACGGUGGUCAAUGCAGCACUUCACCAGGAGUAUUCUAGGUAUCAUAUUUUCCACGGGAAUGAGAAGUGGACUAACUAGACCAAUUGAGUCGUCGGAUGAUGAUCAAAGGGCUUAGGAUUGGGUGGAGAGGUAUUUCUAGUAUUUGGCUUCUGGCUAAGCUAUCCUAAGUAUACUUGAGAGUUAACUCCCUUCCUACUAUAUAUGGCUGAUAGGUGAAAAGGGUGUGGCGAAACACUUCCCUAGGCAGCUACCAUGCAGGCCAACUAUUAUUUGCAACUUGCCUAACAACACACUGAAGAGAACUCCUAAUGUCUAGUAGAGGCCUGUCACGCUUCGCUGCUAGCAUUCUUCAGGUGCGACAAGAAGUCCACAAGGGCAGACUUAGUCUAGACACCACGUCUACACUAAUUCUACUACUCUAGACCCAGCUAAGGUUUCGAGCACUUCACACAAGGCAAAGCAAUGUGCUAGAUAGACCGGUUGUAUACUUAAAAUAAACUAAGAUAGAAAGUAAAUACUUGAAGUACUCAGAUGAAAGGCAACUAGAAAGAAGAAUUACUAGAAGACAAGCAUCCGCUGAAGCGCUCCUGGAAGAAGACUCCCAACAAGCCGGGACUCCUCGGGGAACUCCGCACUCUCUUCCCUCUAUUCUCACACUUAGCUAAGAGUAGCUCUUCCUAAGAUACAUCAUGCUUAACUAGGCUCUCUAAGGGGGUAUUUAUAGGGGAGAGAUGUAGUAGGGGCUACUCUAGCGCCACGUCAGAAAUCCACAUGACCUCCAGCAUGCACCAUUAGAUAAAUCGACCUUGGAACCGCCAUAUGAUCAACAGUUGGGGAUUUCCAUCACAUGUUCAUCAUGGGGACGUCGGUGGGAGUGAACCGACUCAAGAUGGGGCCCACAUGUGGGUCAGUCAACCUGCCCAAUGAUAAUUGGGACUAGUGUUGUCUUCUAGAAGGAAUCCCAUGUCGGUUGGUGCAAACCAGGUGGCUGGAUGGGCCCAUAGUGGGGUCGGUUGACCCAACUUUGGUAGAACCUGAGGUUCAUCUUCUGCAGAUGACUUCCUGGUGAAAUUCUAAGCACAGUGGUGGUGCUGGGCCCACAAAGGUGGGGUCGGCCAACCCCACUAAUGUGCCCAUCUUUUGCACAUUGUCUCCAAAAGCUCUAAGAUUGAUGAAUGUGAAGUUGGUUUUCCCAUUGGCCAUUCUAGGGUGGUGGUCCAACCUUCAUAUAAAGCUUCUUAACCUUGAAAAGUAGUCGAUUGAACACCUGCAUCCAAAUGAUGACAUGUACAUGUGGAACCAAGUUAUUUGUACCUAACUCACUAUGUGUUUGGUGAUUUUCUUCUAGAAAGAAUGUAUUGUUGACGGUUUUGAUGGGGUAAAAAUAGGGCUUAUCUACCAUCAACAAGAACCCUCACACUUAAGUCUUUGCUCGUCCUCGAGCAGAGGUUAGAGGAAGAUAACCUAUGAUUAUGACACUUUUAAGAUAUAAGCAAACACAAAGACUACUCAAGACAUAUCUUAACAAGUGGGUUAUGUGGCACUGUCUAACAUAUAUCCUUAGGAUGUUGAAAAAUGGAACAGUUCCCAAAGCAAAGUCAUCUUCCCAUUUUCAUAUCCUUAGUACUUAGAGUUUUUGAUAAAUGUUUUAAAAGAAAGCACAUAGUUUAUCCUUACUCCUCUAAUAGUACUCUCAAGUCACUCACUAAGUAUAGGAUUCCUCACCAAGCCAUAGCAUAGGAUUGCCUUCUUUUGUUUCAUCCUACAUCUAUUAGGCUUAUGGGGCUCAGGUAGGGGGGAACAAGAUAGCAUACAUGCAUUGUAUCUAUUGUAAAGUCAAAACAAGGAUCCAAGGAGAAGAAUGUCAUAAUCCUAGAUCAAGAUGUGUAAGUGUGUGAAAAAUGAUUAGAAUAGAAUGCUCCUAUAUUUGAUAAGAUCUCUCUCUAUAUAUUUUACUUGAGACAAGGCUAGCUUUUUUUUCUUUUCUCCUUUUUUUCAAAAGCAAUGGACCUUCAUGUGCCCAUUUUUUUUAAUGUUGACACCGUUUUCGGACACGUAUCUUUAGAUACGCACCUGAAGUUAAUGAAGCAUAGAUCGGCAGAUUGGGCGAUGGUGGCUAGUCUACACGGGAGUUGCCGAUGGGGGAAUGGUGUCGAUGGGAAAACAACUGAAUGUGACUAAGUCCAAUGGUGGUGAUGUGUUCAUGCCGAUGACCAGUACUGAUAUUUGCCGAUGGAUGCAACAGGCAGUCUGCCGAUGAUUCUGAAGAAAAGCGUGGAGGUUGCCGAUUGAUUCGUGGUAGUGUCCUGAUCGGUUACAGGGGAUAGUUUAAUGUUUUCCUUAGUUAUUAGAAUUCGUUUUGUAUGUGGGUUCCGUUUAAUUUGGUAUUCAAGUCCUAGUCGUGUCUGGUUGUAGCUCUUUGAAUAGGGUAUAAAUGUAGACCCUAGGGCCAUGUAAUGAUCAUCUAUCAAUCAAUCAAACACAAGUUUUUACUCAUAUUCCAGCAUCUACUUUUUCGACGACUUCGUCAUAUUUUCUUUUUACUACGAGUUCUUAGGAAUUCGUCGAGCCAAACACGGCAUGUUCUCAAGUUCCGCGUGAUCACCUCUUGGCCGUGACAUCCGAGCGCAUCGCUGUUGUCGGGGACCAAAGUGUUCGAGUUACCACCUUUGUCGAUUGUAAGGUCAAAUCGGCUGGCACGCCUUAUCGUUUGAAUCGGGUAUUAGCCCUUUGUGUUUGUAGAUCACUUUUGUACCAACACAUCUUUUGGCACGCCCAGUGGGACAAGAUUCAAGAUCAACAUGUCGAACACCGAUUUCGACUUGGAGAACGUUAUCCCCGUGAUGGAAGCCAAUCUCAGAGAUGAGCAGAAGCAAGCCAUGGCAAAAGCCAUAGAGGAAUACAAGCAGCAAUGCUUGAAAUCCUUCAGCACCAACAGGAGCGGCGAGGUGAUCCAAAUGGAAGCAUUGCCGGCACCCUGGUAGAUAACUUUUGUAGCCAAUCCUGGUAAACUUCAAGACAUGGUUGACAGUGCUAUUAACCGUGCCUUGAUCAAUCAAGCUGGUGUACUGUCUAACACGGUUUUCAAUGCGGUGGCUAGAACCUUCAAGGAAGGGCAAUUGCCACCAAAUUAUGUGGGUCCUGCCUAUCAUCAGCCAGGGUCAUCAUUGGUUACAGCUCCAUCGGCUACUGCAGCCGCUGCGGGUACAGAAGCUACUUCUCCUCCAAGCAUAUUAGGGCUCACUAAAGCGCAAUCUAUGCCGAUGACGACCAGUCCGUCAGCAUCAGACGAGCAAAUCAAGCUUGCCACAGAUCUAUUGGCAUCGGCAAUGUCGGGAUCCGUUCCUCCUAAUUGGUGGGGUUAUGGUAUGCCCCCAGAGAUGAUGACAAAGACUCCUAGAACAUCUCAAGUGGCUAACGUAACAGGCAAGGCUCCUAUGGCAUCGGCACCUCCAAAUCUGCCGAUGAAUCAGAGUCCCCAGUACACUACAACUACUACUGUAAGGCAUUAUACUGGGAAUUCUCAAGCUCCAACGUUUCAGAUGCCUAAUGCAUCGGCAGAUCCAAUGCCGACGCAGCUGAGGUUUAUGACAUAGCCAGGGUAUGUCAAUUCAAUGAUGAUGCCCAAUUACCAGUCAUCGGCAGGGCCUAUGCCGAUGAAUGCUAACAGUGGAUGGAUAGGGCAGUUAGUCUUUCCAUAGAUGCCUCAGCAGAAUCAUCAGGCUGUAGGGUUUCAACAAGGACAAAUCCAACCUGGGUUUCAGAAUCAAGGGUUGGUCAACCAGCCGAUGAAUCUUGGUCAACAGAUAGGUGGUCAGAUGGUUAACCCAAUGUUCCAUGCAGAUCGUGCGCCUCAAAGACACGUGGAAGCAUAUCAACAGGUGCCAGAUCCACAACCGCCUCAUCGGCAAGACGCCGAUGCUUAUUGGGCCGAUAAGAUAGCGGAAGUAAUGAGAGACUAGUUUGGGAUAAAACCCAAAGUCAACACUUACUCUUAUCGGACACCGUAUCCUCCCGCAUAUGACCUGAUUCCGCUUCCAAAUCGGUACAAGGUACCCGAUUUUACUAAGUUUUCUGGACAGGAUGACACAUCAACCAUGGAGCACGUUAACAGGUUCACACUACUACAAAAAUUAUUAACCGUGACCUUUCAAAAUGACCCUCGAAGGCGCGUAACAUUUUCAACCGCCUCGGUUAAUGGCUAGCAUUAACUGAGGUGGUUAUUUUUUAUUAACCGAGACUGUUACAGUCAACCGCCUCAUAAAAUCUAUUUACCGAGACGGUUUUUCUAACUCAACCGCCUCGGUUAAUAUUUUUUACCUGAGACGGUUUUUCUAAUGCAACCGUCUCAGUUAAUAUAUUAACCGAGGCGGUCACAUUAUAAAGCCCGUCUCGAUAAAUAAAGCCCAACCCAUAAGCCCACUUCAAGCCCACUACCAUAGGUAAUAUAUAAAUGAAAUCUCAUCUCAAACCCUAACUCCUCUCUGAGCCGCACCCUCUCCCCAUCCCCUCCCCACCCGACCCCGUCGCACCGGUCUCGACCCCCGUCGCACCGUAGCCCUCCCUUCCCGGCCUCCUCCCCUCCUGGCCUCCCCUCCCCUCCCCUCCACUACUCCCAUCCUGGCACCCCUUCUCUCCCUCUCGAACUCAUCUCUCUCUCCCACAUCGGCGGUGCAGCUCCCUACAGCAGGGGCGUCGGAGCAGGGCCAAGGUGAUCCUCGCCUCCCUCUCGGUGGUGACGAGCUCGACGUCGCCAUGGGUUCAUGCAGCGCGAGGCCAGAUCUGGCACAACACGGAGGGCUUGGCCUGGUGGUGUGGCAGCACAGCGUGGGGGGCCCUCCAAGGCGACACGAGGGCAGAUCCAGGGCGUUGCGACGGCGGAUCCAGGGCCGUGCUGGCGAUGAAGGUUGAACCCUCUUUCUCUCCAUCUCCUUCACUCAUCCCUCUCUUCCCUCUUCAUCUCCCUCACCCUUUCCCUUUUGCAGAUUCAGUGGAGCAGAGGCAGAUCCAGUGAAGCAGAAGCAGAGCAUGGGCGUGGAUCUAGCAGAGCGUGAGCGUGGGCAAUGGGCUCAGAAAUGGUUUCUCCGGUGGGCUUUGUUUUUUUUGUUUUCAUUAAAUUCAUUAAUCAUGGCGGUCUUUCUUACUUGCCCGCUGUGAUUAAUGGAUUAACCGUGGCGGGCACAGGCAACCGCUGCGGUUAAGCCACCAUUAAUGGUGACCUUUCAUUCGUGGCGGUCGCGUGUGCCCGCCUCGGUUAACCAAAAACGACUGUCGUAGUUAAAGAAUUUUGUAGUAGUGUCAUCAUCCAAUGUGGGGAGGCUGCUAACAGAGACAAGUUAAGGGUUCACUUGUUCUCGUCAUCUUUGUCUGGAUCGGCCUUCACUUGGUUUAUAACGUUACCUCCCAACUUAGUGAUCACUUGGGCCGAUCUAGAGAAGCAAUUCCAUAAAUACUUCUUUUCUGGAGUCCAUGAGAAGAACAUUACCGAUUUGGUUAGGCUGAAGCAACGCAAUGAUGAAUUAGUUGAAAGUUUUGUGCAAAGAUUGUGGGAAUUCAAGAAUAAAUGCUAUAGUCUGAUUUUGGAUGAUUGGCAGCUAGCCGAUUUGGCUUUCCAGGUAUUAUUGCCACAUAUCAGGGACAAGUAUGCUUCUCAGGAGUUCGAGAGCCUAAGUCACUUGGUGCAGAGGAUUUCUGACCAAGAUAUCAAACCCUUUGAGCCCAAGAGAGUAUGGAAUAAAAAGGUGUCAUUUAUCGAUGAGGCAGCAAGCUCAGACUCUGAUGAGGAGCCGGUCAUCGGUCUGGCAGAGUGGGUAAAGAGCAAGAAGCCGAUGUCUUGCCCUUUUGGGCAUAAAGUGCCAGAGAAAUUUGCAUUCGAUGUCACCAAACCUGAUAGGAUAUUUGAUUUUCUAUUCCAGGAAGGUCAAAUCAAGUUGUCACUCAAUCAUGUGAUUCCGUCGGCUGAGUAAUUAUAGAAGAUGAAAUAUUGCAAGUGGCACAAUGCAACAUCCCACAACACAAAUGAGUGCAAAGUUUUCAGGCAACAGCUGCAAUCGGCUAUAGAAUCUGGGAGGAUUCAGUUUGAUAAUUCUAAAGCUCAGAAGCCGAUGAAGAUCGAUCAACAUCAUUUCCCAACAAAUAUGUUGGAUGCUAAGGGAAAAACCGAGGUCUUAACCUCAGAAGCAGCUAAGAGAAGUGCAUCGGUGGAUCCUCAGCAUCAGAUUACUGUUGCCGAUGCCAAAGGAAAAGGUUUGAUCCAGGAAGGAACUAGCUCAGGAAGGCCUCCCCGAUCUAGCAUUGUGAUAACUCAUAGAAGGCAUCGGGAGACUUGGCAGCAACGUGAAGAUCGGUACCGGCGUCAACAAGAUGAUUAUUGUCGGGAAGAAGAGAGGCGCCGACAGGAGUGGAAUCGGCAUAAAGAUCACUGGAACUGCCCAUUCUUUUAUCCAUUGUUGGGAGCAAAACAUUAAAUUGCCCACUGUUAGAGAUUGUCCUAAAUGCAAUGGUUAUGAUCGGUAUGAUAGACCUAAUCGGCAGUAUCAGAAUGAUGAUCGGCGAUUUAACGAGCCGAUUAGGGGAAGAGCUUCAGUUCACGAUCGGCUGGGGGGCAGGCUCAGUGUGCAUGAUAGACUUGGUGAUCGUGUCAGAUAUUUUCCUAGGAACCAAGAGGAGCUUGAAGAAAUGGCCGAUGCACGAGUUCCCGAUGAAUUCAUAUUUUGCAGGGAUGCUAAUACCUAUCGAGUGGAGUCAAGGGAAGCUCGUCGCCCAUCGGCAAGACAGCCACAGCUUCCUCCAUGGUGUAUAGAGGGAUUGACUAGGACACCGAAAAGGAGGCUGUAGCGCGAAAGACGAGAAGACUUGAGCAAGGGAUAGAAUUCUGGCGAAUCUGGAGAUCAGCAGUAGUCGGAUCCAAAACGAAAAGGACCAUCGGCAGAUGUUAACAUGGUAUUUAUGUUGCCGAUGGAGUUCCUUGCACCGUCCAGUGAUGAUGAGGAGCUGGAUUUUUCCGACCAGAUAGCUCAGUUGUCUCUGGAUCCGAUGACGGCUAUCUUUGAAAAACCUGCCGACAAUGAAAGGCAGCAUCUUAAAGCUUUGUUCAUCAAAGGAAAAGUCGAUGGACAGCUGAUGACCAAAAUAUUGGUCGAUGGUGGGGCUGCUAUCAAUAUUAUGCCAUAUACAGUUUAUCGGAAGCUUGGGAAGGGAGAUCAAGAUUUGACCAAGACCGAUAUGAUGCUAAAAGACUUUGAAGGAAAUGUGUCUCCAGUUAAGGGGGCAAUAUGCGUCGAGUUGACCAUCGGCAGCUAGACUUUGCCGACAACUUUCUUCGUGAUCAGUGGAAGGGGUGCUUAUAAUCUGCUGCUAGGAAGAGAUUGGAUCCAUGCCAAUUGUUGCAUCCCAUCAACGAUGCACCAAUGCUUGGUUCAGUGGGUAGGUGACAAGAUUGAGAUUGUCCCGGGAGAUUCUUCUUAUGUCAUCGCAUCGGCAGAGGCAGAUACUUAUGAAAGGACCAGGUGCAUCUCAGGAGAAAUUUGGGAAAAGGAUUUCCUCAAGGUUGCUGAUUAUGAGAUUCCACCGAUCCAAGCAGUCGGUUCCGAUGAGGAGUUUUAAUGGAUAGGUUCGCCGAUGAUGGAAAGUUAGGCCAGGGGUUCACAUCGGCCAAUGAUUUAGUAGAGGUAGAUAUAGGUAAUGGAGAUAAACCUAGACUUACUUUUGUUAGUGCUAAGUUAGAUUCUGAGUGUAAGCAACGAUUAACCGAUUUGUUGAAGGAAUAUAAAGAUUGCUUUGCUUGGGAUUAUACCGAGAUGUCUAGUUUAGACCGAUCAAUUGUUGAACAUCGGUUACCUAUCAAAUCUAGAUUUUGGCCACAUCAGCAGCCAGCUCGUCGAUGUAAUCCUAAUAUUCUCCCUGAUAUUAAGGCUGAAAUAACCAAACUUAUUGAAGCUAAAUUUAUUCGGCAGUGUUGGUAUGCCGAGUGGAUUUCCAAUGUCGUUCCAGUUUACAAGAAAAAUGGGAAGCUUCAAGUCUGCAUUGAUUUCAGAAAUCUUAACAAAGUUACGCCGAUGGAUGGUUACCCGAUGCCAGUUGCUGAUUUACUAGUUGAUGCUGCGGCUGGGCAUCGGAUCAUAAGGUUUAUGGAUGGCAAUGCAGAAUAUAAUCAGAUAUUCAUGGCUGAAGAAGAUAUUCCAAAGACUGCAUUUAGAUGUCUUGGUCAUGUUGGGUUGUUUGAAUGGAUAGUCAUGACCUUUGGUUUGAAAAAUGCUGGUGCUACCUAUCAAAGGGCUAUGAAUUUUAUCUUCCAUGAGUUCAUUGGCAAGCUGGUAGAAAUUUACAUUUAUGAUGUGGUGGUUAAGUCUGGGGAUCUCACAAAGCAUCUGGCCGAUCUACGAAAAGUGUUGGAGUGCACAAGGAAACAUAGUUUAAAGAUGAACCCUAACAAGUGUGCAUUUGGUGUAUCGGCAGGGCAGUUUCUUGGUUUCAUGGUGCAUCAAAGGGGAAUUGAAAUUAGCAGAAGAUCUAUCGAUGCUAUUAACAAAAUAGUUUCUCCUACCAACAAGAGUGAGCUCCAAUCUCUGAUUGGCAAAGUAAAUUUUAUCAGGCGGUUUAUUUCCAAUUUAUCUGGUAAAAUUCGUGCUUUUAAUCCUUUACUUAAAUUGAAAGCCGAUCAAGAAUUUAUAUGGGGAGAAGAGCAACAGUUGGCCUUAGAUGAAAUCAAGAGUUAUUUGACAAAUCCUCCAGUCUUGAUUCCACCUCAACAAGGAAAGCCCUUCAGAUUAUAUUUGUCUACCGAUGGGAUGGUCAUCGGUUCAGCUUUGAUUCAAGAAUUCGAAGGGAAGGAGCGUGUGAUUUAGUAUUUAAGUAGAAGAUUGAUUGAUGCUGAGACUAGGUAUUCGGCCAUUGAAAAAUUAUGUUUAUGCCUAUAUUUUUCUUGCACUAAGUUGAGGCAUUGUUUGCUAUCGGCCGAAUGCACUGUUAUAUGCAAAGAUGAUGUUGUUCGAUAUAUGCUAUCUAUGCCGAUUAUGAGUGGUAGAAUCGGUAAGUGGAUUUUGGCAUUGUCGGAAUUUGAUCUACGUUACGAAUCGGCUAAAGCGGUUAAAGGGCAGAUUAUGGCCGAUUUUGUGACUCAACAUCGUGGUGUAGUGGAGACUUUGGAAAUUGUGCCUUGGACAUUAUUCUUUGAUGGAUCCACGUGCGACCGGGGGGCAGGAAUCUGCAUAGUGUUAAUUUCCCCUCAGGGAAGGAACUAUGAGUUCUCUUUGCCGAUUGUUGCCACGUCAACGAAUAAUCAAGCCGAGUACCAAGCUUUGAUCAAGGGGUUGGAAUUGUUAAAAGAAGUUUAUGCUGAUGCUGUUGAAAUCUUCGAGGAUUCUAUGCUGGUUAUAAAUCAAUUGGCUAGAAGUUAUGAAUGCCGAAGCGAAGUCCUGAUAACUUAUUACGAAAAGAGUAUACAAUUGUUAAGGGAAUUCAAAGAUUUCCGAUUAGAGCAUGUUCCUCGGUUACAUAAUGAGGAGACUAAUCUGUUGGCUCAGCAUGCCUCGGGAUAUCAACCCAUAUUGAAUGCGUUAUCGGCAAUCGGUGCCGAUGAUUGGAGAGAAGAGAUUAUUAAUUAUUUAAAGGAUCCAUCUAAGAAAGUUGAGAGGCGUAUCCGGUUCCAAGCUACCAAAUAUGUGCUCCUCGAGGAUGAGCUUUAUUAUCAAACAAUUGAUGGGGUUCUUCUCAAGUGCUUAGGUGAUGAUGAAGCUAAAAGUUUGAUGGGAGAAAUUCAUGGAGUGUGUGGAGCACAUCAGUCGGCUUUUAAGAUGAAAUGGAUGAUCAGAAGAAAUGGGUAUUAUUGGCCGACCAUACUUGAGGAUUGUUUUAAGUAUUUCAAAGGAUGUCAAGGAUGUCAGAAGUUUGGCAAUAUUCAAAGGGCACCCGCAUCGGCCAUGAAUCCUAUCAUUAAACCUUGGCCGUUCCGGGGAUGGGCUAUUGAUCUGAUCGGCCAGAUUUACCCAUCAUCGAGCAAAGGGCAUAAGUUCAUCUUAGUUGCCACUGAUUAUUUCACUAAGUGGGUUGAAGCUAUUCCUAUGAAGAAAGUUACAUCAGCUAAUAUGAUUGAUUUUGUGAAAGAGCAUAUUAUUUACCAAUUUGGUAUUCCUCAAACGAUUACUACCGAUCAGGGUACUAUGUUUACAUCAGGAGAGUUUGAUGAAUUUGCAAUCGGUAUGGGAAUUAAAGUAUUGAAUUCUUCUCCUUAUUAUGCUCAAGCCAAUGGGUAGGCCGAGGCAUCUAACAAAGGAAUUAUUAGACUUAUCAAACGGAAGAUUGAAGAAAAUCCUAGGAGGUGGCAUACGUUGUUGAAUGAAGCUUUGUGGUCAUAUCGGAUGGCUUGUCAUGGGUCGACCAAAGUUUCACCUUAUCAAUUGGUAUACGGGCACGAUGCAAUAUUGCCAUGGGAAAUUAAGACUGGGUCUAGGCGAUUCUCUUUCCAAGAUCAGUUGGCUGCCGAUGACUAUGCUACUUUGAUGAAAGACGAGUUAGAUGAUUUAGCAGGGCAUCAGCUGAGGGCUUUGGUAAGUAUAGAAGAAAAUAAAAAGAGAGUUGCCAGGUGGUAUGAUAAAAAGGUAAAGGCUAACGAGUUUACCGAUGGUGAUUUGGUAUGGAAGCUGAUAUUGCCGAUUGGGACUAAAACUUCAAAGUUUGGCAAGUGGUCUCCCAGUUGGGAAGGUCCUUAUCGGAUAAGCCGGUCUGCUCCUAGUAAUGCCUAUAUUCUGGAAACCCUCGAAGGUAUUGAAUUUCCCAGAGCAUUGAAUGGAAAAUAUUUAAAGAAAUAUUACCCAAGCAUAUGGGUCGAUGCAUAAAAGUUAAAGUACCGAUCACAUUCCUAUCGGCUGGAUUGAAAUGUAUCUGGGACUAAAGAUCAUGUUUUAAAAGAUGUCGAUAACAGUCCUAUCGGCUAGACCAAAAUACUCAGAGGUUUUUAGAGAGGAAGCAAAGCACGCUGCCGAUGAAGAGUUCAUACGUUCAGCAAGGCUUGGAUGGCCGAUAUGGCGCGCAGACGGAUUUGAUUAGCCUCUUCUAUCUCCUUGAUAUCUUCAUCGGUAGAGCCUUCCACCGGUUUCAUCAUCUUCUUCAUCUGCAGUGCCUUGCGCGCUUGGGUGUUUCGCUCUUGUUCAAGGGUCUUGAUUGUUUCGGGCAGCUGACUUUCUUCCUGUUGAGCUUGGGAUAGAGCUUCUUCUACUUGUUUAAGCUCUGCCAACAAGACUUCCCUUUUUGCCGAUAGGUCGGAGAUCUUUUGUUUCAGUAUGUCCUCGGAGGAUUUCAGAAUGCCGAUGCUCUUGUGUUUCUCAUCGGCAAGGUGCUUCACUUUCAUCACCUCCUCUCAAAGUUGGGCAUGACUGGCUCUAUUGGCAAGGUGCUGAGUAGCCUUUUGGUACUAAAGCUGUCGACUCUCCAAUUGUGCAGCCUUGAAAAGGAUCUCCUCGGCAUCGGCAGGAACUUGGCCUCUGAAAGCUUUAAACAGAGCCUUGGCUGGAUUGGAGUCAUCAACCAGUUGGGCUGUAUCUAGAUGAAGCAGGGCCAGCAAAUCUUCCAGCUUUGCUCUGAUUUCUGCCGAUGAAAUCCCGAUUGCUUGAGAGGAGCUUGCUUCCUCGCCUUCAUCAUCAGAAAUUUUGAUGGCAAAGGAGAACAGGCUGUCGGGAGAAUCUUGUUCCUAAAAAAGAAAGGGAGAUGGGUUAUUUGAUGAUGAAAUAUUAGUAAAAUAAAGGAUGAUAAUCAAAUAGCUUACUUGUUUCAAAGUUAUUUCUCGCUUCUGGCUAGUUGAGGCCGAUGGUACCACAGGUUGGUCGGCCGGAGUUACCGAUGGGGCAAUAUCAGCUGAAAAUUAACAGGGAUAAUUAUAAGAUGGAAAAAUAGGUCCAUCGGCAAUAAUUUCAUAGAUAGUACUUUACCUUGAGGGGGUGCGAUGCUUGUCUGAAUCGAGGAGACUACCGAUGCUAUGAUUGAACCUACUGGAUCGGUGGUCUGCUCAUGUACAUCGACAGAUGUCUCCUCUGGCUGAGGUUCUUCUUGUGACUGAGGUGGAGAUGGUGCUUGAGCUUCUGGUGAAGAAGGGGAUGAUUCCACGUGAAUCGGCGACCUUGGAGGAAGGGGAGGAGGUGAUGCUGUCCUUUGCCGCUUUGCUUGUGACUUGGUACUCUUGGGACCCUUUCUCUUAGCCUGACUAGCUUGGGGGGCAUCGGCACUUGCUUUGGUACUCCUGGUCUUUACCGAUUUGCCAGUUUGCUGAUACAACAAUGAAGGCUUCAUGAGUACAAGUGUAACAGGGUAUUAAUGGAAUUUUGGUUGAGAAAGUGAAAGUUACCGAUGAAGUUCCCAUAGCUGCCGAUGUGUCCUGAAAGGAUUGUGUAAGUAUGGAAUGGGAUCAGUAUAAAUUGAAAAGGCAAAAACUUUUUACCAUGAAAACUUGCGCCAAGCAGCAGCAGCGACCGAUGGGGAUGUCUUGGUCCGCUUGGUGGUGAUCUUCUUGAAACGCGCGCCCCAGUGCAUUAGGGCCGCCAAACUUGGAGCGUUAUUACCGAUCAAAGAAAUCGAGCCUGAUGGAAGGAGCUCGAUCGACCUGCCACUUCUGCUGACUGACGGUGGUGUAUCAUCAACCUGUGUAAAAUAGAGGGAGUAAGUUGCCGAUAAAAGCAAAAGUAAUAAGAUCGAGGCAUCGGUUGAAGACUUAAAAUGUUAUCAGGGACCUUGUACGAGGAGUCGAUCAUACCAUGGUAUGUGAGGGCCGAUCUGCAGAACAAAUGCUCCUUCCAUUCUGCCCACCAUUGUUUGUACGCCUGGGUAAUAAAGAGAGCUGGAAUCCUGGCCGAUAGGUCGAUAUCUGACGUAUCGGCAUUUGGUGGAAGUUGGGCUAUUCUGAUCCACUCAAGACCACUGGUGAUGAUCUCCCUUGGUUUCACCACAUCGGCAUAACAGAGCGCAAUCGGCUGGUGCCGAUGGAUUGUAAAACUCGUAGGUGAGGUUGGAAGCUUUCCCGCUGCCAAAGAAGUUUACUAGUAUAGCUCUCGGAGUGAUAAUUGCCAUCAUUAGAUCAUGGUCUUUGUUGAGAGUGUUGUCGAAGGGAUGAAAAGUCAGAGGAAAUCUAGUGUCUGGAUCUUCAUAAGGCAUCCAUGCCCACUAUUCUAUAGUCAAACCCUCAUAAAGAGUCUGAAAGAAUCGGCUAACCUGGUCCUCAUUACCACCGGUACCAGGUAAAACUAUGGUAGCUUCACCAUAGUUGAGAGGAGGGCGAGUUGCUGAUUCUUCCUCAUCCAACUCAUGAUCUUCGGCUAUAUCUCUAGGGAAAUGUUGUGCGAAAAGAUCGAACUCAAGGCGCUUGUGCAUAUGGACACUGAGCCACAUUUUCAUGAACCACCAGGGUCCCCCCAAGUUGCCGAUGGGUUGGCCUAGCAGAAGUUUCCUAGCCACCGAAUGAAGGAGGUGAUAAAUAGAGCUGAGCAAAUAUCGGCCAAGAGGAAAUCGGCCGCCAUUGGCCAGUCUUUCUGCUACCGAUAAAUAGAUAGAAGUUGGUCCUGCCGAUCGGCCACAGAAUACCAACUUAUCCAGCCACAUAUUCAAACAGAUGGCUUGCUCUCUUUCCUCGACAGAUCCUGUCUUGCAGUAUUUCUGAAUGUAUCCAGACCAACCACCGAUAGCGCGAUUCUCUACUUUAGAGCUGGGCUUGGUGACAAAUAGGUGACUGUUAUCGGCAGUGGAUAUGUCUAAGCCGGUGAGCAUGAGUACAUCGGCAAGAGUUGGUGAAGCAGGGCCAUGGCCGAAUACAAAAGCAUUGAGCGUGUCUGACCAAAAGUACGAGGCAGCUAUUAGUAGUGACUCGUUCCUCUCCAUAUCGGCAAUGGAUAAUCAGAUGCACUGGUCUAAUUUUCGUUCACCCCAUUGGACCUCAUUUGAAUGGCUGACUCUCAAGAACCAGUCUUUCCAUCCCUUGGUAGGACUGGGCCAGGAAUGAAAGGCAUCUUUCCAUAGAUCUAAAGAAAAGUUUUCGGCUCUGAAGGGGAUUCUAUUUGUCUCUGCAUUUAUUGGAUCGGUGGGAUCUGGAUUUCCUAACGGGCCGAGACAUUGGAAGGGAGGUUGAUCGGUAGGAAUCACGAUCUUACCGGCCAGUUCCUAAUGGGUUCAAAGAUUGGAGGAACAGAAAAGAAACAAGAAGAAAGAGGAAAAAGGUACUCAGUAAAAGAAUUGCAGAUGAACAGGAGUACAACAAAGGUAUAAAAGAAGAGGGAUAGCGAACUGACCUCAGGGACGACGAAGUUGAUGGCCAUUUCUUCCUAAGGGAAGGAGAAAUCGAAGACCUCGAAGGUUGUUGGAGAAGGCUCUUGCUGAAGUUCUUGGAGUACUCAGGCAAUGCCGCCGCCAGGAAAGUGGAUUUUGGGCUGUAGAAUGACAAGAUGGAGAAGGAAUACCGGAGAAGGAAGUAUUUAUAGGACAAAACGGGCAGGGGCAAAUCUGACUUAUCUCUUUGCCGCAUCUAUGAAAUCCAAGGGUGUUUAGGUGGAUAUGGUAACUGUUCACACGACAAUCAAGGAAUUGUGCAGGUGAUUUGAUAGCGAGUGGUGAAGAUAUCUUACUGUGCAAGAUCACUUGGUCGGUCCAUCGGCAGUUCUCUCUAACGGUAAUAUUGCCGAUGAGCACAUUCCGGGGAGAUUCGGUUUGGAAAGUUGAGGAAUUCGAGGAAUCUACAGGAAAAGUCGGGCUGAGGUUGUUUAGAUUUGGUAAUUAAUUGCCAAUCAAGGGAAGUAAUUGCGGAAAAGUGUCAUUACUGAGGAGAAUUUCGGAGCAUUAAUGAUUUUAUACUCUGAAAUUGGGGGGCAUGUGUUGACACCAUUUUCGGACACGUAUCUUUGGAUACGCACCUGAAGUUAAUGAAGCAUAGAUCGGCAGAUUGGACGAUGGUGGCUAGUCUACAGGGGAGUUGCCGAUGGGGGAAUGGUGCCGAUGGGAAAACAACUGAAUGUGACUAAGUCCAGGGGUGGUGAUGUAUUCAUGCCGAUGACCAGUACCGAUGUUUGCCGAUGGAUGCAACAGGCAGUCUGCUGAUGAUUCUGAAGAAAAGCGUGGAGGUUGCUGAUGGAUUCGUGGUAGUGUCCUGAUCGGUUAUAGGGGAUAGUUUAAUGUUUUCCUUAGUUAUUAGAAUUUGUUUUGUAUACGAAUUCCGUUUAAUUUGGAAUUCGAGUCCUAGUCGUGUCUAGUUGUAGCUCUUUGAACAGGGUAUAAAUGUAGACCCUAGGGCCAUGUAAUGAUCAUCUAUCAAUCAAUCAAACACAAAUUUUUACUCAUAUUCCAACACCUACUUUUUCGACGACUUCGUCAUAUUUUCUUUUUACUACGAGUUCUUAGGAAUUCGUCGAGCCAAACUCAGCGUGUUCUCAAGUUCUGCGUGAACACCUUUUGGCCGUGACAUCUGAGCGCAUCGCUGUUGUGGGGACCAAAUUGUUCGAGUUAGCACCUUUGUCGAUUGUAAGGUCAAAUCGGCUGGCACGCCUUAACAUUUGAAUUGGGUAUUAGCCCUUUGUGUUUGCAGAUCACUUUUGCAACAACAUUUACUAAACAUAGCCUUUGUGUCUCAUCUUAUAACCAAUACAUAGAGAGAGAUAUUCUAAACCUUAAAACAUGGAGCAUCUAUAUGGUGGAAAUGGAUUGCAUGUUUUUGCAUACUUCCAAUGUAGAAGCAGCAUAUAUAUGUGGUGUGUGUGUGAUCUUGAUCUUGGGACUAUUGUUGACGGUCCUUAAGUAUCAAAUUUAAUUAUCAAAUAAACAAAGAAAAGGAUCCAAAUGAAAUCAACAUCUAGACUUAGGGUUUUAUCUGACAGAAUUCCACGAGUUUUGGUGUUUGUCUAUUUCUGCAGGGGGUUAUCAGGAAAUAAGGAAGAAAGGCGCACAUGUCAGGAUUACAUAGAGAUAUCAAUGCACCGCGCAAUUUUCUACCAUCUAGAAGACUCCAGAAGCCACGAGACCGAAGCGGAGGCGAAACGGGGCCAGGCCCAGGGCGCCCGCCCUGAAGACCUGGGCGCCCGCCCCCUGUUGGAUACCAAACAGGACCGCUCGGGAUGUUCCACCGACCUAUUGGAUCAAGAAAAACAUAGUACCACCUCACCUAUCGACCCAAAAAUGCAUAGAAGGGGAGGACUAUAUAAGGAGACCCCCUGGCCCCUGGAGGAGACAUGAAGAAAUUAUCAUAGAGAUUGAGGGGUGCCCUCGAAGGAAAACCUCUUCUCUAAUUAAUAUUUCUUUUUAGGCUUAGCAACCAAUGUAAAGUAGAAAUAGAUCUUCUAGUUUCUACUAGAUUAAGAGAGAUAGAGUGGAGGUGUUGAUUGGAGGAAGCCCGGCCUGUCGGUGUCUACUCCAAGCUUGUACCUGCGGGAUCAAGUUCUCCUAACCCGAAGCUUGCUCCUAGGAUUCUUCAGUAUUUCGACUUCUAAAUUCUAGUAAGUUCUUGUUUUAUUGUUCUUCUGGUUUAUGAGUUUACUUUAAUCUCUUCGCGUAGAGUUUAGAGUAAUCAUUGUUGGCAUAAACGUGGUGUUUAGGCUGGGGUACUCAUAGAUAUUCCCUGACUAGCUGGACCGUGGUAGUAGUGAGGAACGUGACAAUUCCGAGUUACCUUUGUAGAUCACAUCUCGUUAGCAGGAAGGAUAGGGUUUAUAGGUGCGGGUUGAACAUCCUUUGUGGUGUCUAGAUUCCGUUAGCCUCCUCAUUAGAACAGUAGAUCAUCCUUACCAAGGUUAGAAGGAGACUACGGUUGCAGUCUUCUCUAUUUAUCACUCACAUCGAAAGACAUUCUUUGUGCCUAAAGGUUAGUAGUAAUAGACCGGUUAGUCAGAUGCACUCUUUCUCCUAGUGGUAAAAAAAUAAAUACGAUACUCUGGAUAAUUUCUAGGGUGAAGUGCUCACCGAUAUCCGUGCGCUUGCGGAUCAAUUCCUUAUUGCGUUCCCAAAUAUCAACAAGCAUUUCUGGCGUCGUUGCCGGGGAGAAAGACGGUUUGCUGAGAUAACUUUGAGUCUUGCUAUUAUCUUGUAUUAUACUUUUAUACUUUUAUUCUUUUAUCUUUUUAUUUUUAUCUUUAUGGAUAACUCAAAUUCCAUACCUAUUAUUAAAUUCUUUGCACCUUUGGAGACCAGCCAUAGACCAUGGGAGUCAACACGUCCUGCCCCUAAUUAUGAUCUGUGUCCGGAGUUGAUUGCAAUAGGUCAAAACCAACCCUUUUCUAUAGCUGAGGUCCUAUCUUUUAAUCAAAAAGAUAAUGCACUUUUAGCUACACCUAGGGAAUCUUUUAAUCUUUCUAUAAAUUCUGGUUUAGACCUAGCCCUACAAGACCAUGUUUUUCCUAGAUAUUUUCACAUUGGUCUUAAUCAUAUAACCUUUGGUAGAGUCUUCCUUUCUUUAUCUAUUAGUAAUGGAAGGUAUGUCUUCAUUCGUAGACAUCCUUCUUGCACUAGUCUUCAUAGAAAAAUCUUAGAGAUAGAGAAGGAAUCAUCUCCCAUACAAGGAGAGGAAGUUUCAAUAGCCAAUUUCCAAACAUUUCAAUCCCAUAAUUCGGCUAUCCAACCCAUCCUUGAGCUUAAUAAUUUCUACUAUGCUUUUUCUCUUGAACCUCCCGAUAAUCCUAUGAAUCUCUCUAUACAUCCCAUGCAUAAGAAGGAGGAUCGAGAAGAGCAACAUCAAUGGCUAGAGGGCAUUAAAAAUCCAUGUGCUAUCACCAUUGAAUGGAUAGAUAAAACAAACUUGAGAGACAAUCCUAGAGGAAUUUUAAGCAUUCAUGAAGAAUCAUCCUUGGAGUUUAAGAAUGAGAGAAACAACAGUGAGCAUGGAAGCUAUUUCAUAAAUACCUCACCCAGUCCUUGCUCAUAUAAAACAUCUCUCCAAUCAAUUUGUCUCUCCAUCCUUACCACAUUUGAGAUCUCCAACCCCCUCUUCCUCUUCAUUUAUAAAAACUUUAAAAGGGCGGUUGUCGAUGCAUAUGUCUAUAAUAAAUAUUGCAGAUCUCAUUGAGUUUAUCUUGAUAUAGGUAGGUGUUGGAGGGGAAACCACUUCACCAACAUAACUUGAUGGUUUCCCAAGGACAAGCUUAGUGUCCUAAAACAAGCACUUAUGAGAUCAUAACAUGAACUUCUAAUUAUUUGCAACAUUGACUUGUGUAUUGAGCAUAUAAAGAUAAUCGUAGAAAUAUUCCUUCGGGUAUUCUUGUCACUAACCUUUCCAGGAUUGGAGCAAGAAGAUCGGAUGAAUGGCAAGCACAGGGUAUGUCCAACCAACCAUCACACAACAUUGAAUUAAAUUCAUCCAAACUUGAAUUUUGUAAAAUUCAAGCUUGGGGGAGUACUUUACAUAAAAACAUCUUUGGCCAUGUUGCUACGUUGGUUGUCCUUACCUUUGAGACAUGCUCAAUUUGUUAAAUACUAAUUACACUACUUCAUCUCCACUUAAGUAGAUCUCUAUAAAUGCUCUCAUGCUACCUUUAUUUGCUUUAGUAUAUGUCUAGGUUUGGAAUAGUUUCAUUUAUCUCUUAAUUAAGCAUGGUGCUUAGGUUAAAAUGCCCUUCAAAAUCAAAUUAGACAUGGUGUCUAGGUUGAUUUUUAAGCCGAUAGUAUGCUAUAGUAGAUAUGGGAUAUUUUGUUGGACUAACCCCUGCAGGAAAACUUUCAAUAUCAAUCUGGGAAGUCCUGAGAUAAACUCGCAUUGGAGAUGAAGAAAGUGACAUAUGAAGUUUAACAAGUUGCACAAGAAAGACGUGGCUCAUAAGAGAUGAUUCAUGGAGGGUGCCACAAACACGAUGCACAACCGCUAAGAAAGGAAAGCUUCUACAAGGUGAUACUGUACCGUCACUCUUCAAGUAAGGUAACACCUUAAGGUACUUGACUAUCGCUUUUAUAAGCUUCUCCUUGGUUCUAGCAUUCACAUAAAUAAAGAGACAAACAUGUAUGAUUUAUAACUCCAGAUUAACCAACUCAAUUAAUUCAACAUGUUUAGUCCUUUGAUCUUUGUUCUUAGUACUACCUUCAUGAUCCCACGCUCCUAAACAUAUAAGCUAAUAUGUUGCACAUUCAAUAUUUGGAAGAUAUAAACAAAACAUAAAUAUAGAUAGAUUAUCUUUCCAUUAGGUUGAGCCAUCUGAUCUGACAAAUGUUUCAAAUACUACACUCAUGAUCUUAUUAUCCAUCAACUUUGUCUUGCUCACUAUGCUUAAGGUUAGAGAAGAACAAAUACACUUUUGGUUCUGUUGGUGUUUUCCACCAACAGAGCCCAUGCACUUGAUCUCUGCCUUGUCUCUAUGAACAGAUACACUUCAAGCAAAACAAGGAGGAGUUUUACAACUCCCAGACUCCACCAAGUGAAGGACCUGGAUCUAUGAGCAUAAACACACUGAGCAGAAUAUUGCCAACACCAUACUUCGAACUGCUGGGCAAAGAAGAACAUGGGUGACACCGUAUCAAGAGGUGCAGACGUCAAGGUCCACACCUAAUCAAAUGAUGCACCUAAAGGAUGAAGAUGGUGGAAAGUCUUGUCCAGAAGACUUAAAACAUUUAAUCCUUGUCGGAAGAGGUCAACAUCGUCGACUCAAGUCACCUUUCUUGAUCAAGAAGGACGACCCUGGUGUUCCAAGCAUCGAGUGCGCAAUCAAUGGAUACUCUUUUCAGAAGACACUCUACGACACCGGAUCUGACGACAACAUAAUGGCCGCAGUCACUUAUCAGCUCCUGCAUGGAACCAUGCCCCUACAACCAAUAUUUUCAGCUCCAGAUGAUUUUCAGGUCAUUGACAUGGGAGAAGACGAAUAUGAUCCACCCACCAUCCUUGGAAGACCGUUCCUCAACACUAUCAAAGCAAUCAUCUACAUUGGAACCAGAGAAGUCCACAUGUACUUCCCCUCUGAGAAGGUACGCAACUAUUUUACUGACCAUAACUAUAUAGUUGAAGACUCUAAGCAGGUCAGGACAAGAAGACGACGCAACCGCAACCAAGAGGAGGCAAAUCAUCAAGAACGGAUGGGUAGACUACGAAGGAAAAGUGAUAAGGACUGAAGACACACAACUUGAACAGAACUAUCCUGAGGAGACCGUAGCAUCGAGUCAGGUGUGGAGGAAGAAGAUAGUUAUACACAAAGAGAGGCGCCGCCGGAAUCACCGACUACGCCACCUAGCGAAUCCCAGGACGACUGAGAAAACAGAGAGCCCCGUUCGGAGGACUUAAAAAUACCGAACGCCUUGCCAAGAGGUAAACUUGGUAGUUACCCUUUCCUUUCAAUUAUUCAAUUAUAAUUUGCUUAGUUAAUCAGGUUCAUGCUAUCUUGAAAAAAAAAUAAAAAUGUUAAAAAAAUAGUAAGCCCCAUGUGAGUAUGCUCAUGGCAUAAAACCCAUAAGUACAUUCACUGUGGUGGCAUAAAAAUAAAAUAAAUAAGUUUUCAUCUUACAAUAAAAAUAUAUAUAAAAUAUAUAUAUAUAUAUUAAUAAGUGUAUGAUCCUGCUGAAUAAAUAAUAUUUAUUAAGGAAGCUCAACAUGAUGAAGGCUAGAUAUUUAUGCUAACACUUAAUUAGUUCCACAAGCUUUGUUGUCUAUUUGAGCUCCACAGAAUUUAAGAAUCAAGAAGACUAGCAGACGGAGGACAUUCUAAUCGCUGUCAGAAUGCUGCUGACUUUCAAAUACACCUCUGCCACCUGCUAGCUACAUCAAGAGAAAUUACGUCAAAAUUCAGCUUGGGGGAGAGCACCCCUAUUUAUCUCGCUAAGUAUUUCUACCUAUCUUUAUGCUUAUAUUAUGUUAGAAUAUUAAAAUACAUAAACUAUGAAAAACCAAAUAAAGAUUUUGUGCUUAUAUAUAUCUUUUGCUUAGUAUGUUUAAUAAAUAAAUAAAGUGGCUAUGCUAAUCUGAAUCUUAAUAAUAAAACUCUAAGUAUGGAUAUGAUGAAUAGUUGCUUUGCCUAAUUUUUAUGUUUUGAAGUUCACUCUCAAGUUUAGACAUAACUGUUAUAAUUUAAAGCUUGCUCUAGAUCUAAACUUAUGGGAUGAAAACUUGAUCUGAAAUCUAAGUUGUUAACGGAUAUGAUAUGGGAAGGUUGAGCUGCUGUUUAUCUGUUCCUAGAGAUGCUAGAAUUCUGGAAAAUUUUAUCUUUGAAAAAUCUUUAAAAUAUUGCGUGAUGAGUUCCUGUAUGAUGAGAGUUUAAAUUCCUACCACAGCCAUAUAUACAUGCUUGCUCGACUUUGAGCCACACAUUUACUAUUUACUGCUUAUGAGCAUUGAGUGUGGUCAAGCUGUGUAGACCCUUAGGAGCUUGUCAUGUGGUUAAAUCAAGAUUCACUUGCACGUUCACUCAUAUAUGCUGCUUCUACUCUGGAAGUACCAUCCACAUAUAUCCAUCCAUUUCCAUCUCCAGAAUCACCCAAAAAUAUUCUACUCCUAAUCCGGGAGAGAAUAGUCAAAAACAUUUUCCUAUCCCUGUUAUUCCCUGUGAAAUAAAUGCUCCAAAUAUUUUGGCUACUACCACUUGCUAUAUUAUCUCAAGAGAUGAGUGCUCUGAAAAAAAGAGAAAAAAUAAAAAAAAUAAAAAAAAUAUAUAAACGAGGAAAUAAAAAGGGGCAAGUGCCCAGAACCUCGAAAGAAAGAAAAAGUGAGACGAGAGGUAAAAAUGGACAAGUGUCCGACGGUAGAAUUAGGGGUACAAGAUACCCAACUGAGAGGAAAGAAAAAGAAGAGCAUCUCAUUCUCCUCAUAAAGUUUCAAAAAGCAAGAAAGGUAUGUAUCCCCUCAAAAGAGCAAAAGUAGAAUUAGACUUUCACCAUUGUUAUUACCAUCAUCACCAUACACCAUUCAUUCGCCACACAUGCACAUCUUGAUUUGGCUUAUUGAUUUGUUUCUUUGGAUCCAUGGUUUGACUAUGCAAUAAAUGUCUUGUAAGUAUGUAUAUUUUAUCUCCCACCUAUGAGCUCCAGAUAUUAAAGCCUUAUUAGAGUAGGGUGAGAGAGAAGGCAAUGUCACUAUGCCUUAUACCACAAAUACCACAUAUCUUGAGAGAAGGCAUAUACUAUCAAUGCCUUGGUAAGGAUCCAGAAAUACCACAAAAGAGAGAUAUGAGAGAGUCAUACGAGGAAUCUCUGAGUUUUAUUUGAAAAUCUGCAAAAAAAAAACCCAGAGCUAUAGCUGAUCAAGAAUAAGAGACAUGGCACUUGGCUAGACUGUUCUAUCUUUUAACGUCUCAAGACAGAAGUCACGGUUACAAGUCCCAUGGUGAAGGUAAAGUAAGUUUUAAGUCUUGACAGUUUACUCUAACUCAGAGAUGAGAUCUUAUUUAAAAAGCAUGUGUACCGUUAAUUUUGAAAGAUAUUGCAACAACUUCUAAUCCAUUGCUGAGUCUAUCCUUGCUCAGGGACGAGCAAAAGGUAAGCUUGGGCGAGUUUGUUGACAGUCCUUAAGUAUCAAAUUUAAUUAUCAAAUAAACAAAGAAAAGGAUCUAAAUGAAAUCAACAUCUAGACUUAGGGUUUUAUCUGACAGAAUUCCACGAGUUUUGGUGUUUGUCUAUUUCUGCAGGGGGUUAUCAGGAAAUAAGGAAGAAAGGCCCACAUGUCAGGAUUACAUAGAGAUAUCAACGCACCGCGCAAUUUUCUACCAUCUAGAAGACUCCAGAAGCCACGAGACCGAAGCGGAGGCGAAACGGGGCCAGGCCCAGGGCGCCCGCCCUGAGGACCUGGGCGCCCGCCCCCUGUUGGAUACCAAACAGGACCGCUCGGGAUGUUCCACCGACCUAUUGGAUCAAGAAAAACAUAGUACCACCUCGCCUAUCGACCCAAAAACGCAUAGAAGGGGAGGACUAUAUAAGGAGACCCCCUGGCCCCUGGAGGAGACAUGAAGAAAUUAUCAUAGAGAUUGAGGGGUGCCCUCGAAGGAAAACCUCUUCUCUAAUUAAUAUUUCUUUUUAGGCUUAGCAACCAAUGUAAAGUAGAAAUAGAUCUUCUAGUUUCUACUAGAUUGAGAAAGAUAGAGUGGAGGUGUUGAUUGGAGGAAGCCCGGCCUGUCGGUGUCUACUCCAAGCUUGUACCUGCGG